rnacentral:lncRNA from 1 species
AACUCUUUUGUUGCCAAACUGAUAGGAUAGAAACAAUGGGCAACUAAAAUUCAAAAAACCUAUAACUCCUGCUAUACUCAACUUAAAACUACAACGAACACGCGUUGGAAAAGUUUAAAAAUUGUCCACGACUUUUGCAAUAAAGUUGCACCCAAAUUUAUCUUUAUAGCCCUCAACUCUGUAUGACCUACAGCUAAACUCAGCCUGAGAUUCUGCACAUUAGAGAUUCGACUUAUAUUCGGACAACCACCUCUCCCAAUCUAUUUAACAGACAAUUACAAGAAAAUACUCAUUUAAAAGGUACUGAGAAGAACUAAAAGUUUUGCUUAAAGAGAAUUCCCAAAUUUGGGCUCUGAAACUAUCAAAACGCGGUCGAUUUAUUGGUGGUUAUAACGACACCUAACGUUUAGACACAACGGUGCGACAACUUCAGAGUAGCCUAACUCCAAUUAUAUGCAAUGAAAAUUACAAACCAAUAUUCUUUGGAAAGAUCAUGAAAUUACUAAAACUUUCAUAAUCCAACAAAGACCAAUUUAUACCGUCUUCAAUGUCUACUCUUCCGUACAAAAUUAAAGACUCAUUCUACCAGAGGCACCAACAAGGAUGUCUUAGGAAACCCAUAACUCUCAAAUGUUUAGACCAAACCGGGUGAUUAAGCAUCCUAUGGAAAGAUGAAGAAACAUACUACAAAACAUUCUAGAUAAGUGAAGCCUGAUUCAGCCUCCAACUAAUUUAAAAUGCCUCCCAAAACCAAACAACAAUACAAAACAAUAUAAAUUGAAACCCAAGGCAUUGGCAGGUGCAAUCAACACUAGGAUUUUCCACUACCAAACUGGGAUGCAACUCCCCAAAGUCUUUAAAUAAAACUCUACCAAAAUAGGUUAGCGAAUUCAACAACCUCGUUUGUUAAUGCCACUAAGGUCAAACAUCCAUGUAUCGACAAUGUAUGAAACACCUGACAUACACGUCUCAAGCACUAUAAAACAUGGUUGUUAUUACACUAGAAUCCAACUACUAGAAAUCUCCAAAACUAUUCUGUUGACGUGAAGCAAAUGGUGCUCGUGCCAUAUAACGUCUUUUUUCUCCUCUCAAAAGAGAUAAAAUGUGCAACACUCAUAAAGCAAUGGAGGGAUAACAACAAGAAAAACUAAUGUUCUUCUUGAUACAGACUCAUGCAAAAGCUUCAUAAAUAUUACUUUCAACACUAAAAUAAUAACACGAUACUAUGCUUAACAGGAGUAAUUGGACUUCAAUAAGACAAUCCACCUAACCAAACUACCUUGAUUAAACCUCACAUACAACAAUACUUCCUAUUAUUGCACUCGAACAAUUUGUACCUCGUGAUGUCAUAUGAUGAAUUCAAUGUAGUAGACAUACAUGAUCUAUCAAUCCAUCAUUCAUAUGAAAAAAAAUCUCCAUCUGAUGCAACAACCACAUCAUUAUAGAGAUAGAUGACUAACAAACAUAAGCAACUUCUAGUUAAGCAUUGACUUUGUUUAAGAUAAAGCGGUCCAAAUAAUAAUUCAACAAGCAUGCAUAGAGAACUGAUCAUAAAAAAAUAAAACUACCAUAUAUCGUCGGCGAUUAAAAAAUAUAUAAAACGGGUUGUCCAUAUCGUCCACAUGACUAGCCUCCAACAAAUAAAAAUUAUGCAUAUCCUUUUUGGCUAUAGAAACAAACCAUAGAACACUACAAGAAACUAAUAAAAGUUCGUGGGGCAAACUAAGAACGUGGGUACCGAUGUUCUUAUUUGAAUUAAGUUCAUGGGUUUGACGAAGAACGUGGGUACCCACAUUUUUAAUUUAAGUUCGUGCGGCCUGACUGAAACCGUCGAACUUAAGGUAUUAGAAACGUGGGUACCCACGUUUUUAAUUUAAGUUCGUGGGCCAGCAGGAAACCGUCGAACUUAACUAAAAAACCCAAACCCCUAACCCGCGCGGGACUCAUCUAUCUCACCCUCUCUCACACGCUGAAAUCCCCUCCACGCCGCCCCUCUCUCACAUACUCACAAGUCGCGCCGCCGGACCGCCGGACCACCGGACCCGCGCCACCCCUCCGCCACCGCGCGCACUCCUCCACCACGCUCGCCGUGCCUCCGCCAGCCACCGCACUCGCCGCGCCUCCGCCACCGCUCCUCCAGGAUUCAGAUCGCGGCCGCGGCGACUCCCCGAGCAGAAGAACCCGAUCGAACGCGGCCGCGGCGACUCCCCGAGCAGAAGAACCCGAUCGAACAUGGCUGCGACGGUGACUCCCCGAUCUCAGAUCCCUGCUGCGAGCAAAGGUAAGAUCUUUCCAAGAUCUCCGUGCUCGAUAGUUCACAUCGAUUCCCGCCAGUGGGUUCCCUCAAAUUUUUCGGUCUCUCUUCUCCCCACGGGACCAGUAGUGUUCGAUUCGAGCAGAGAUGGCGGCGACAUGGGCUGGGCUGGCUUUGUUGCUCGUCACGGCGCAGUUGGCGUCAGCAGCGCAAAUCACGGCGCCAUUGUUCCUGUGGGCGCCCAAAAACUAUGGGUGAGUAACUCGUUGCGCUUACUAUUUCCGUCAGAUCCCAUGUUUGUUAGAUACAAUGGGCGAUAUUGAUGAUCGGGGUUCCGGGUGUUCUGCUUCGCUUAAUAAGUUGAAUCCAUUGCGAAUUGGUGUACAGAGCUUUGCCACACAGAUGGGAUUUCUUAGCCUAUGUUCAACGAAUAGUUUCUUACUAUAUUGACUAUUCAGAGUUUAGGAACCCAACCUAUUUUUUACCUUUCGAGCUUGCUAUAUUCGUCGGUAACCCACGUUCUUACGGUAAGUUCGACGGCUUAUUACAUUAAGUUCGACGGUUUGUCACCCACGUUCUUUAACCAGUUUCCUGUAGUGGAAGGAAAACAUGCAUGCCUCUUCAACUAUAAUAUAGACAUAAAAUCCACUUGAAAUCACCCUAUUUAUUGUUAAAGAUAAGGUUGCACACCAUAAGAAAACCUAUCAUGUAAACAUGGUUGAACUUAUCUAUCCAUGUCAUCUUACAAAUUCACUUGAGUUCUACCAGUCUCAAGAUUUCAUAGACAGUACAACAUUGCCUUUGCUCUAUGGAGACAAACCUAUUGUACUCUAAGAUCAAGUUGGCAAGUAGCCAUAUUAGCCCAAGGGGGUGAGGCACAAAGCAUUGCAUCCAUGGAAAUAUUACAUUGAUAAGUUGGGUUGUAACCCAACAUUCAAUCAGACUCAACAACAUGAUAAAACUACAUUAUAUAGUGUUUUCACACCACACCAAGCCAGAUUAGACCCACUAUACACAAACUCAAUAAACAAUCGGUCCUACAAGUACUAGAACCCAAAAAAUCCAUUUAAAAAACAUCCACAGUCACGCAUAUAGAAAUAUAUGAUAGUAAUAGCUCAGAGAUUUGAAAAACAUCGCAUCAAAAAAACCAUCAUGACGAUAUGCAUACAAAACAAGUACAUUAGUAGUUUCACUUGCAUAAUAACUUCAAUAACAACCACAUCAAGAAACCCAUAUUAAAUAGAAGGAGCAUAUCAUAUCAAGCAUUAAGUCGUUAACGACAUAUCCCACCAAACCAUAAAGGGAUUUGGAGUAAGGGUAUUCUAGUCAUCUAUACAAUAAUACUAAUAUGAAAGAUAUACGAACCCAUACCCUUCCUAUAUGUGCAAGUGUAUCAAAUUUAUCUUCAAAUUGCGUAGAAUAUAAAGCCUAUGCUUUGAUAUCAACUGUAACAUCCUAGGAUCCACAAACACCCCGGAAUGCUACUGAACUACACUUCCGACAUCCGUAAAUAAAAUUUCGGCAGCAUCUCCUUUGCAAAAUUGCAUAAAUGAGGGGGCAACAGUGUAUAAACAUAUAUCAUGACAAAAAAACAUACUAAGUAUUAUUAAUCGGCUAGCAAAGGGAAGUUAAACAUACGACAUGAACUGAAUUAACCAGUGCACAUGACUAGUUAAAAAACAAACAUCCUUUGACAACAAGUUUCUAAUUAAAUCAUGGUUGCGCCAGGGCAGCGUUAUUAUGAGAGUGAAAGUGAACGUGCUGCUACUCCUCUCAUUCCCAACAUGUAUCAAGUACCUGCAUUGAGUAAUGCAAGAGUGAGAUGACACAUCUCAGCAAGUAAAAUAAUAACAAACUGUUUAACCAUAUAACAACAUUGUUUUACCACCACUUGAUUUCACAACCUUCUUAUUACGAAGGUGCAGCACGAAUACAACGUACAACACACCUAGUUACCACACCUCGCAGGUAGAAACCACAAUAGUAACAUAGUAAUGUCACCCUUCAUAUAUACCUCAUGAGUGCAAAUGUCUGCAAAUGCAAUGAUGACUUCUGCCUUCAUACCUCUAAGGAUAUGAAGCCGCAUCAUACCCCUCCUCGGACAACAUACGAUGCUAAAAGUGUACCGGUACGGUCGGACCAUAAGAUCAUGACAUAACUUCAAAAUGCAAGAUGGAUGAUGCGAUGUGCAUGACAUGCCUACAACACUUCAUAUAACAUGAUUCAAAAAGAUACUUCAACUUCAUCCAAGAUGGGAAUCAACCACAUAUAUCAUUCCCAAAUCAUGAUCAUCCGCAAUAUUAGACAAUUGAGAAUUAAUACUUAAGAACAAAUAAACUUCAUCAUAGAAUUCAAUGAUUAACACAUUUAAUACUUAUGCAUAUUCAAUGACAAGGCAUAGGAUGCAAACCAAACGGUAGCAACCACCACUGUAUUUACUUGCCUUCACCGGGAAUUUGGAAUGGUACUAAGUACGAUCCGGAAGUCCACCAUCUGUUUUUGACACACACCUUAGUGCACAAAUCAACAUAACAAACGCUAAUAAACAACGCCGUACCUACGCACAAUUCCAACCCGUCGCGAGCGACAACUCUCCCCAUCACCACUAAACUGCAGCGGCGCUGCUUGAUAAUUUCAUAACUUUAAAAUUAUAACAGCAGUGAUAUCAAUCAAAAACUCCAGAAUCAUUUACAUAACAUUCCCCACAAGUUUUAUAUUCAAAUGAUAAUUAAAUUCCAACGCCUAAUUAGCCCAAAACAGUCCACAAGAUAAACCUUGCAAUCUGUUUUUGGACAGUAGCAUACCUGGAUUCAAACAGCGAUAUCUCCUAAAAUAUAACUCCGAAUCGAGCGCAUAAGUACUCGUUGGAAAGGUAUGACAAAGCUCUACAUGAUUCUCUCACUGAUUCCCACUAAUUACCCACGAAAAAUCCCCAGAAACUGCUAAUACUACUGCUGUUCGCCCAUCUACAAAAUUUCUGGACAGCACCUCUACCAAUUCGCAUACGUAAACAUCUAAUCGAUUGAAUUGCAGCACAAAUAAACAAGAGUUAAUCACAAAAUCACCUUGACUUCUUCCCCUUUCCUCCCUCCUACUUCCUUCCACCAAAUUCUAAUUGGAGAUUUGCACCCACGUGACAUAGAUCAAGCAGGAGGGCUGCACCUAGGAGAGGAGAAGAUGGGGGCAGUUAGGGUUUGUGGUAUGGUGGCUACAAGAGUUUGAGGGAGGAGGAGAUGAGAGAGGGGGCUGCACAAAGGCUAGAGAGAGGGGGGCGGGUGCACAAGGGGGAGGGCAGCUAGGGUUAGGGGGGCUAGUGGGCCGGAUCGAGUUUCAUGGCCCAACUCGCUCACACGACAGCUCCCGACCCCGGCGCAUGAGUCUAACCAAAACUUCUACUGUUUUACUGGCGAAUGCUUCCCAAAAAUUCCAAACCCCUGUAGCACAGGACCCGGAAGAGAAAACGAAGAAAAAAAGAAUAAUCUUCAAUUUCUCUUCUUUUUUUGAAAAUUGGGUAUCACAAGAUGAGGGAGGUAACCCGGUUAAUCAAACUCUCUACCGUUCUAUGAUUGGUAGUUUAUUGUAUCUUACCACAUCUAGGCCCGAUAUCAUGUUUAGUGUCUGCAUGUGUGCAAGAUUUCAAUCAAAUCCUAAGAAAGCUCAUCUUCGCGCUGUUAAAAGAAUUCUUAAAUAUCUCAGGCGCACCCCAAGCGUUGGUCUGUGGUAUCCCAAAGGAGCUACUUUUGACUUAAUUGGCUAUUCCGAUUCGGAUUAUGCCGGUUGCAAAAUUGGUAGAAAAAGUACUUCUGGGGGUGCCAUUUGCUUGGGAGAUCACUAGUAUCAUGGACAUCCAAAAAGCAACAUAGUGUUGCCUUGUCAACCGCCGAAGCAGAAUACAUUGCCGCGGGUGCUUGUUGCACACAAAUUUUAUAUAUGAAACAAACUCUUCUAGACUAUGGCGUAGUUCUAGAAAAGGUAUCUUUGUUGUGUGACAAUGAGAGUUCUGUUAAAAUUGUUAAUAAUCUUGUACAACACUCUCGCACCAAGUACAUUGAUAUCCGUCAUCACUUCCUUAGAGAUCAUGUUGCUAAAGGAGACAUCAUUUUAGAAGGAGUGAGGUCGGAAGAUCAAUUAGCGGAUAUUUUCACUAAGCCACUUGAUAAAACCCGCUUUUGCAUGUUGAGGAAUGAAUUAAAUAUACUUGAUCUUAGAAAUUUUAUUUAAGAUAUCAAAAUGGUGUUGUCAAGCUUGCAUUGCAUAUUUAAAUUUCUUGUAUUACAUCUAGGGCUUGUCUAACCUAGUUGAGAUAACCGCCAACAAAGCGAGUGAAAAAGCUUAACUCGGGAUCAAACUUGACAAGUCUUAGUUGUAAGCUUUUAGUACUUAAAUUCUUACUUACUAUGCAAUUGUUGGUUCUUGAGAUAUGCAUGAGGCACUACACUUAGGGGGGGUAUUCAAAACUCAAACCUUUCAUGAAAACCCCUAGUGCAAAGCUAAGAUGCAAAUCUCACCAUUUUCCUAUUUUCUCUAAAAAUUAUCUAGCCUAUGGCAAAAUAUUUCGAAAAUUAUGAGAAAAUAUAUGAGGGUGCCAAUACCUAUCCCAACAGGUGUUCUUUUGUGUGAAUAUAAGUUGGGAUUUGGUUUGGUUGGAAACUAAAUAGAAAAUUUGAAAAUUUUCGAAUUUCCCUCUGUCUGGGCUCACCGGACAAUCUGGUGUGCACCGGACACUGCACUGUGCACUGUCCGGUGCACCGGCCGCGUGCGCGCAGAUCUCCCCUUUCCUGUGCGUUGUCCGGUGGUUCACCGGACAGCUACUGUGCGCUGUCCGAUUUGCACCGGACGGGCACUGUAGACUAUCCGGUGCGCCCAUAAUGCAUUUUAAAAAAAGGACCUGUAGCCCGAGGCCGAGCUAGAGGCCCAGUCUUACUUCUGUGCUGGCUCCCCUCUCUCCUCUCUAGGACUGGGCGUUCGGGUUUACCCGAAAUUUUGGGUCAGACUUUUUGGGUUUUUUAUAUUUCGAGUUUUCAACAGUAGAGCCUGUAUUCGUACCAGAAAUUUCGGGUACCUGCAAUUUCGAGUACCCGCAAAUUUGGGUUUGAGUUUAGGUUUGAGUUCGGGUACCCGUACUCGUAUUCAAGGACGAUUCCAAAGUCUUCGUCUCUGUCGUUGUGCACUGCCGCCUUUCCUCCGCCUGCGAGUAAUUAAAGAACAAGAGGGGGAUUUCACGGGGAUCUGCCCUGAUCUAGAUGGCUCUUUGGUCUGCCAUGCAGGGAGGGGACCGGCACGUUCGUACGGUCCAGCGAUAGUGACGACGAGCUCGAGUUGGAAUUUUGUGAUGAAAUUGGAAUGAAGUUUCGCAUAGCCAGCACUCAGCAGCAAGCUAGUAGUAUUAACAAUGCUGAUCAAGGACUAGUGAGACACUAACAAAUGGACCGAGCGAGUGACCGACGGAGGAGGAAGAAAUGAGUAGGCUAUCAACUGGGUGUGGCCCAUGGGCUGUGCCGCUGUUGGGCUAGCGGCUAGCGCUCAGCCUGGCACGUGCUGUCUAAUUUCGGGUAGAAUGGGUACUUCGGGUACCGCGGGUGAAUACCCGAUUAGGCCCAAACUUAGUUCGGGUAUUCCGUUUUGUUACCCGUUGGAGCUGUUCGGGUAACGAGUCUCGGGCUAAACGGGUAUGGGUUUGGGUAUUUUGGGUAACGAGCUUCGGGCUCGGGUUUUAUGCCUAGUCCUACUCCUCUCUGGCGUCUCCUCCUCACCACCGGCGACCCCAGCUCCUCUUCGGCGAUUCUCCGGUGACCAAGCUUCACUGUGCUCGGGCUUUGCUUCUUUCCCCUCUGGUGAGCAGCUUCUAGCUCCCUCUCCCCUUAUCUCUGGUUCAAACAGCAGUGAAGCCCCUCUUCCCCUUUGUUGCUAAAUUUCAAAUUCCUAUCAAAUCAUGUGAAUCCAAGUGCAAGAUUGAGUAGGGAUGAAAACGGACGGAAACGGACGGAAAAACCAUUCUCCUGUUUCCGUAUCCGCAUUUUAUCAUCGAAAACGGGAUCGGGUCCGGAAUAGUCGGGAAUGGAAAUGGGAGCGGGAUAAACGGAAUUGUAAAAACAAACGGAAACGGGAAUACUAACAGAAACUCAUAAUUUAAUAUAAAUAGAAAUGUUAUUGAUGUUUGACUAGUGAUUGAUUAGCAGAACAAUAACAUAAAACAAAUAGAUAUAGAGACGCAACAUUCUAUUGUUGUUUGGUUGCUAAAUGUGUACAUUUAGCUACAUCCGAUGUUGUUUAAGACUUUAGAUCACUUGUCAUUUGAAAAGAGCCGGUGGUUACAAUGGCCAAUUGUGCUAUAAUUUGUCACCUAAAUACACGAGGAUUUAGUUUAUAUACUAAUGCAUAUUAGGCUCGUCCCAUAUUUGUCAAAUAUGGAAUAAAUACGGGUUCAAUCCGAAAAAAACGGGAUCCCGCAAAAACGGAUGGAAUAAGCUCUCUCCCGUUUCCGUCCUGUUUCCAUAUUUUUCCGUAAAUACAGAAACAGUCGGGUCAAAUGUAGAAAACGGUACGGGUCGGGACAGGAUUUUUUCCAUCCGUUUUCAACCCUAAGAUUGAGUUCCUUUAUGCUCCUUGAGUACUCCUGUAGGUUCCUAGCUCCUUAGGGAGGGUUUCACCACCAAAAUGGCCAUAUCUCCAAAACCCUAAAACACCGCACGCCACGUGCUCUGUGAAAUGCCCAAACCAGCUAAAAUUGCUCUGAUUGAACCCAAACUUUUCAGGCACCUUCACAAUACCUCCAGUAACAUAUUCGCCAAAUUUCACGCCAAUCCGAUAUACCAGGCUUCAAUUUCAAACAAUUCCUCGUUUCUAGCAAUCGAUUCCGAGCCGAGUGCUCAAAUUCCAUUUUCUUCGCCUCAAAUCAAAUCAAGCGCACACUUCACUCAUAUUUACCCAUAUAAACCUAUUCAUGAAGUAUCGGCCCAAUUCCAAAUCAUUUCAUGCCUCAUUUUCAAUUUCAAACCUCCUAUGGCACUAUUUCACGUUCAAACGUCGUUUCGCGUCUGUUGGGGACUUGUUCUCAAAUGCUAAGAGUUAAGAACAAGGCAACAUAAAAAAUGUUAAAUGUUAAAGUCCUUCGUCCUUUGAAGCAUUAUCUCCCUUCGGAUAUAAUGAAUCCCGGACGAAGGUUAUGAAGGGCAAGCCUUCAUAAGCACAAUAAAUAAUGGAGAAGGAUUCAUACACAAGAUAUGAAAAAUAAUAUAAACACUUUAAACAUUGUUAUUAACUUAUUUUUAUUUGCGUUACUGUAUUAACAAUAACAAAUUACAAAUGUACCUUCGGCUCGAAGGAAAGCAAGGGUACAAGCGUGACGCGAAAGCAAAUGCCAAGUCAACGUGAACAGUACGGGGAUACUGUUCACCUAUUUAUAGGCACGGGACGCAGCCCAUGUAAAAUUACACCCAUGCCCUUUACAUUUGCUAAUGACCCUAUAGUAAUCCAUCGAGGUCUGAAUAGCCUUUUCCUUUUUAAGUUGGUUCCCUUUUCUGCUGUCAUGCCGAAGCUCUCCUGCACAUAGCUUCGGCUCUGCGCCAACCUUCGUGAUCUUUGUGCCUCUUCAUGUUGUAGUUCUGAUCCAAAUCCAAAGAUACCUGUUCAUGUAUUAUACUCCAGAAACAUUGUUAAAUCAUGUUUUUGAGGACCUUCGGAAGCCAAAGGCCCCCAACAGUAGCCCCUCUCAAUAUUAAUUUGUUAGAAUGAUAAAUUCAGAUUGCGAUAUGGACGAAGGUCCAAAAAAACACCUUCCCUUUGCUAGAAUAGCAAUAGUCAAUGACAAGUGGGGCCCUGCCACUUGCAACGUAUUGGGCGUAUAAAUAAGAACGCACCACGAGCACAUUUAGCACGCUUUCUUGCCGUCUGCUCUUGCCUUCCUAAUUUUUAGCUCUUUGCACACCAACACUUGCCUAGCUUUUUAAAUUUUUAAGCUUCGUCUUUGAGAGCACUUUCUUAGCAUUUUCGAAGAUGUCUGAAGACAAGAAAGUUGUCGCUGAGUCGAAGCUAAGCCUUUCCGAAGAGAUGAAUCUCGGCUUCCUUGAAUCAAUAGCAAAGACAAACACAGAGAAGAUUACUAAGGAGAUUUUAGAGGGCCUAUCUGAAGACAUUGGUGAUAGUGACAGUUAUGAUGUGGAAAGUGGCGGUGAAGAUUCCGGAGAUCGACCCUGGCGACCAAGGCAUGCAGUUUUUGGAAAAUCAAGCAUUAAACAAAGCCAUCUUGUCAAUAUGAGGGGUAGAUAUUUUCGGGAUUUAUCUAUUGUGAGGGCUGACAAAGGAGAGAAAACUUGUCCGACUCCUGAGGAGAAUGAAGUCGUGAUAUUCCGAAGUUUCUUUAAGGCUGGGCUUCGGUUUCCUUUGAGCAGUUUCGUGGUAGAAGUUUUGAAGAUAUUUGAAAUCUGCCUUCAUCAAAUUACUCCCAAAGCAAUCAUGAGGAUGGGAAUCUUCGUAUGGGCCGUGAAGAGCCAAGGUUUGGAGCCAAAUGCAAAAAGUUUCUGUAGCAUGCAUGAGUUAUUAUAUGAGACAAAACCCUGGGGUAAAGAGCAAUACCAUAACAAUUUUGGCUGUUACAGCUUCGGUGCCCGCUCUGGGUCAAGCUGUCUCGUGCCAACUUUUUGGAAGAGAUGGCCUGGGGACUGGAUGAAGGAAUGGUUCUAUGUGAAAAACGACUUGAAGACACGAGAAGAUAUUAAAUAUAUCAUCAUGCGCCCCAUCUGGCAGCAUUUUGGCCUUCGGAAACCGAAGGUGGAUAUUGACGAAGCAGUCGGAGAGCCUUCGGUGUAGUUUGUUCUUUCAUCAGGACGAGGGAUUUGAUCCAGGAGCAUAUUGCCUUCAGAGUAUGGCCACUUGUGGAAAAGUGGGAAAUACCAAAGGAAACCAUCAGCAAACCUUACGAAGGUGGAAUAGUUAGGCUAAAAUAUACCUUCAGAUAUGGAGAUCAGUUUGUCGAGCCAGAUGAUGAUUGGCUGAAAUGUAUUGAGGCCACAAACGAUGAACUGCUUGGACCAUAUUCAAAGGCAGAAGAUACUGCACUGUCUGCAGCCUUCGGAGGCCGGAAGAAGAAAAGGCUCAAUCGAGUAUUUGAUGCCAUUGGGUUCGCCUAUCCUGACUAUCGUUACCCAACACGGGGUCAAAAAAGGAAAGAUACAGCUUCUGUGAAGGAAGCUGCUUCAGUAGCUCUUAAUGAGCCAUUGCCGACGAGGAAAAAGAUGAAGGUUCUUACACACCAGCCAUGCUAUAUUGAACCGGCCACAGUGCCCGAGUUUGUCGGUGAAACCUCUUCGGCCACCAAAGCCAAGGAGCCGACUCCCCUGCCGAAUAUUGAAGAGCCGGUCAUAAUGCCGGAGAUGGAGAAAAUAGAAGAACCGAAGGCUAAAGAAACAAGGACAUCUGAAAUUUUAAGUCCUUCAGCAAAAGUUACAGUACCAAAAGAAAAAGGAUGGUUAAUGUACUGGAUGUAUUGGAGACAAUAAAGUCUUCAAGCACUACUCCGAAGAAAAUUGCCGAAACUCCCGAAGUGCAAAUCGAAGCCUUUGGUGCCGAAGCUUCAAAGCACCAAGCUGAGACUGAAGCUGGGCCUUCAAAGCCCACCAAGGUGAAAUCCUUGGAAACCAAAGAAACAAAAGCAGCAGAACAAAUUUUGGCUGAAGAAACUGGCACUGUCGCCCUCGAAGCAUUUUCCGAAGCUUUCAAUUAUAUUUUACGACAUGCUUCGGGGAAAGAGUUGACUGAAAAAGAAAAGCAAGAGGCUCAGUUCUAUGCCCAAAAACUGAAAUAUCCAAAGGGGGCGUUGAUAUUCAACGGUAGCGGAGAAGAAGACUUCUUGUAUUGUCUCCCUGACAGCAAGGAGAUUUCUGUCUAUCGGGAGAUGAGCAAGAGCUUCGGAUUCCCAACAUUAGAAGACGGGCUCUCGGUGUUGUCAAAAAAUGAGCUGGCCGACAGCUUGGCGUACAAUAGCUUAAAGGUGAAAAAAUGAGAUCUUUGUAUUAUUCCUUGAAACCAAAAUUUUUCGUUUGCCUGAACUUAUUAACGCAUUUUUUACAGGGCCUUAUACUUAGCAAUGCCCUCAGGGCACAAAAAGAUGCCGAAGACGAAGGGUGUACCAUAGCCUUGAGCAACCUUCGUUCCGAAGUAAUUGAACUAAGGAACGAAGGUCUCAAAAAAGAUAAAAUAUUACAUUCGCUUGUGAAUAGAAUAAAAGAAGAUGAAGCUGCUUUCAAAGCUCAAGCUGAGGCUCAGAAGCGCAAAAUUGAGGAUCUUCGGAAACAACUAGCCAGAGCUAAAGAAGAAUGCACGGUUGAAGAAGCCAAACGAGAAAUUAGUGAACAAUGGGCAAAUCAUCUAGAGAAAAAUGUUGAAGAGCUUCGUGCAUCCAAGAAAAGGUGUUAUGAAAAAUCUGUAGAAUGUGAUAAGAAAAUAAGAACCUGCUUCGCCAGCGUUGGCGCAUUCUCAAGUGAAGAAAAUUUCAUAAGGGGCAACCCCGAGGGCCCAAUUGGAUGGAUCAGCCACGAAGCUGAAGCUUUUGAAGAAGUUUUGAAUAGCCGCAGAGACAUUUGUGCCUUCUCAGGUGCUAGGGGGAUUGCCAUUGUUUUGGAGAAAAAAGGUUGCGAUCACGUGAAAUCCUUGGCACAAACCGAAGCCGACUUGUCCCCUGAAGACAUAAAAGACCCUUCAGCCGAGGCAAGUCUGGUUGGUGGAAAAUUUUUCACCGACAUCUGGGACAAUGGUGGCCGGGAGAUGGCCCAAGAAAUUAUACGAAAAAGCGAGAAAGGUAUUCAUGACGCUAGAAAAGUAGCAGAGGCCGCUGAGAAAAGUGCGGAUCUCGAAGGGCAAAUAGGUAUUGACUAGUAGUUUUUGGCUCUUUGUUGUAAUUUUUUGAUUUCGAACUUGUUUACACUUUUGUAACACAGCCGCACUUUCUCCUCCCUCAGAGCCUGCCGAGCCAUCGGCGAUCCCCCACGCGAAGGGGGACGACGAAAUUAGAAAAAUGGCCGAAGCUAUCAUGGAUAAAGUUGUUGAUCAACUACUAAACGAAGCUGCAGAAGUAGUUCUAAGGGAAGAUUAGAUGUUAUUGUAAAAAUAUUUGGAAUGUAAUAUUUGUUGAACAACAUGUGUAAUAUUUUGUAACUUUGAAUGUAAUAUAUAAGCUAUUUAUGGUUCAAUUAUUUACGAUGCAUGAAACUUUACAUACAUACCGUUUUUUGAGCCUUCGGCGAAAAAACACCUUCCCUUCUUUUCAUGCUUCGUAAAUAAUAUCUGUAUUUUCAUAAAAACAUCCAAUCGUCGUAAAAUCAGUAACCAAUAGAUCUUUUCAUUUCGGAGUUUGACGAAGGUAUGCUUCUUUGAUAAUUAUUCUUGUGCCUUGGCACUGUUUCUUCGAAACAAUCUUCGAAUAUCAACAUUGAACCCCCUUCUUGCAUCAUUGAUGCAAUAUGAUGUAUGAUGUUAUGCUAUGCAAAUGAUGUGAUGAUGUGAUGUUAUGCAAAAUGAUAUUUGCCGAAGAUCGACGUUUAUUUUUCACUUUAAGCCUCCCUUAGGAGCUUCUUCGCCUUUUACAUCAGCGGAAUCAGCGUUUAUUUUUCGUUGUAAGCCUCCCUUAGGAGCUUCUUCGCCUUUUACUUUCAGCGGCAUCAGUGUUUAUUUUUCGUUGUAAGCCUCCCUUAGGAGCUUCUUCGCCUUUUACUUUCAGCGGAAUCAGCGUUUAUUUUUCGCUGUAAGCUCUGCAUUCCCUUCGGAACGACUUUUGAGCAGAAAACUUACGCUGCGCUCCCUUAGGAACGACUUUUUGUUAUUUCUGAGAUUCUCCUUGUAGCCAUAAAUUCUUAUGCUUCGGCAACUCCGUUAUUCUAUGAAGAAGGUAUAUUUUUACUGUGGCGAAAACGAAGCUAUUACAAGAAAUUGAAAACGACAAAAAGCACUUAAGCUUUCAAUAAUUGUUCCUUAUUAAAAAGAAAAUGAUACUGAAUGUAAAAACUGCUUCCAAGGUAGGAUAUUUGUUAGUAAAUAUGAUUCGAUUCUGGCACAGUACUAUUGAUUGUGCGAGCUUCGGACUCUUCUCUGAAGUCCCGUUGGAGGUGGGUAUGCUGACUCCCUUCUGGCUGCUGGCCUCGUUGCAUUGGUGGUGGAGGUGGAGGCUGUUGCCAAGAUGCCUGAGGUUGGCUUGCCGAAGCAACAGAAGCUGCAGGGUGGUUGCCUACAUACUCUGGAAUGUAAGGCGAAUGGUACGAAGCAGUGUGCAUAACUUGCUUCAGCUGACUCUGUUGGGCUGCAGCUUCUGCUAUCUCCUUUUGUUUCUGGAUGGUAACAUGGCACAUGCUGGUGGUAUGGCCCUUGUCCUCACCACAGAAUAGGCAAUAAAUCUUCCUGGGCUGAUCCCCAAAUCUUCCUCCAAAGCCCCUGGCACCUCUGCCCCUUGGAGCUGGAGGCCGAGGAUAGCUCUGCUGCUGCCCCGAAGCCUGGGAGGAAUAUUGCGGCCUCUGCUGCUGGCUUCCCCUGUCAUCACUCUGAGUGUUAUGAAUCGAUCUGACAUGUCUAGGAUGAAUUCUUCCUCCGAAGCCCCUAGCUAUUUCGGAGAACCUGUAAGCUUCCUCCCUUCUCUGUCGAAAGUCAUUGUCAGCGCAGAUGUAUUCAUCCAUCUUCUGAAGCAGUUUUUUCAGUGUCUGAGGGGGCUUCCUGGCAAAGUAUUGGGCUGAAGGUCCCGGCCGGAGCCCCUUAAUCAUGGCCUCAAUGCCAAUUUCAUUGGGCACUGUUGGCGCUUGUGCCCUCAGGCGUAAGAACCUUCGGACAUACGCCUGAAGAUAUUCUUCGUGAUCUUGGGUGCACUGGAACAAAGCUUGAGCGGUGACUGGCUUCGUUUGAAACCCUUGGAAACUGGUGAUCAGCAUAUCCUUCAGCUUCUGCCAUGAUGUGAUUGUUCCUGGCCGAAGGGAGGAGUACCAGGUUUGUGCAACAUUCUUGACGGCCAUGACGAAAGACUUCGCCAUAACUGCAGUGUUCCGCCAUAGGAAGACAUUGUUGCUUCGUAGCUCAUCAGAAACUGCUUCGGAUCUGAAUGUCCGUCGUACAUGGGGAGUUGAGGUGGCUUGUAAUACGGAGGCCAAGGUGUAGCCUGCAGUUCUGCUGACAGAGGAGAAGCAUCAUCAAAAGCAAAAUUUCCAUGAUGGAAAUCCUCAUACCAAUCAUCCUCGUUGACAAAGCCCUCUUGAUGAAGCUCUCUGUGCUGAGGCCUUCGGUUCUGCUCAUCUUGAGCAAGAUGGCGAACUUCUUCAGAGGCUUCGUCUAUCUGCCUUUGCAGGUCAGCUAGCCUAGCCAUCUUUUCCUUCUUCCUUUGCACCUGCUGAUGGAGCAUCUCCAUAUUUCUGAUCUCUUGAUCCAAGUCGUCCUCCUGAGGCGUUGGACUGGUGGCCUUCCUCUUCUGGCUUCGGGCCUCCCGAAGAGAGAUGGUCUCCUGGUUAGGAUCCAGCGGCUGCAGAGCGGCAGCCCCUGUUGCUGAAGCUUUCUUUGGCGGCAUGACGAAGGUCUAUGCUUGCCGAAGGUGUUCAAAACUCAAAAAGUGGAAGUGAGUUCACCGGAGGUGGGCGCCAAUGUUGGGGACUUGUUCUCAAAUGCUAAGAGUUAAGAACAAGGCAACAUAAAAAAUGUUAAAUGUUAAAGUCCUUCGUCCUUCGAAGCAUUAUCUCCCUUCGGAUAUAAUGAAUCCCGGACGAAGGUUAUGAAGGGCAAGCCUUCAUAAGCACAAUAAAUAACGGAGAAGGAUUCAUACACAAGAUAUGAAAAAUAAUAUAAACACUUUAAACAUUGUUAUUAACUUAUUUUUAUUUGCGUUAUUGUAUUAACAAUAACAAAUUACAAAUGUACCUUCGGCUCGAAGGAAAGCAAGGGUACAAGCGUGACGCGAAAGCAAAUGCCAAGUCAGCGUGAACAGUACGGGGAUACUGUUCACCUAUUUAUAGGCACGGGACGCAGCCCAUGUAAAAUUACACCCAUGCCCUUUACAUUUGCUAAUGACCCUAUAGUAAUCCAUCGAGGUCGGAAUAGCCUUUUCCUUUUUAAGUCGGUUCCCUUUUCUGCUGUCAUGCCGAAGCUCUCCUGCACAUAGCUUCGGCUCUGCGCCAACCUUCGUGUUCUUUGUGCCUCUUCAUGUUGUAGUUCUGAUCCAAAUCUGAAGAUACCUGUUCAUGUAUUAUACUCCAGAAACAUUGUUAAAUCAUGUUUUUGAGGACCUUCGAAAGCCGAAGGCCCCUGUUGGGGGCCUUCGGCUUCCGAAGGUCCUCAAAAACGUGAUUUAACAAUGUUUUCUAAGUAUGCGAGCAGGUUUCUUCGGAAUCAGGAAUCAGGUUGCGGGUAUACAGAAGCAUGGUCAAGACGAAGCUUGACUGGGACGGCGAUCGUGACGAAGGAUAAGAUGAUCACGAAGCUAUAUGCAGAAGAGCUUCGGCAUCACGGCGGAAAGGGGAAACCGACUUAAAGAUGAAAAGCCAAACUAGACCUCGAAGAAUUACUAUAGGGUUAUUGAUAAAUGUAAAGGGCAUUAUUGUAAUUUUGCAUGGGCUGCGACUCGUGCCUAUAAAUAGGUGAACAGUAUCCCUGUACUGUUCACGCUGACUUGGCAUUCACUUUUACGCCACGCCUGUAUUUUCUUUCCUUCAAGCCGAAGGUACAUUUGUAAUUUAUCUUUGCAUACACAAGUUAUAUAAAUAGAAAUAUAUUAAUAAUAAUGAUGUUUAAAGAAAUUAUGCUACUUUCUAUUCUUUGUUUGAAUGUUUUUCAUCUUUUACCAUGAUCAUGAAGGUACAUCCUUCACGACCUUCAUCCUAAAUUUGUUAUAUCCGAAGGGAAAUAACGAUUUGAAGUACGAAGGGCUUUUGAUAUUUAACAUUUUAUGUUGCCUUGUUCUUGAUUCAUAGCACUUGAGAACAAGUCCCCAACAUUAGCGCCCACCUCCGGUGAACUCACUUCCAUUUUUUGAGUCUUGAACAAUUUCGGCAAGCAUCACCUUCAUCAUGCCGCCGAAAAAGCUUCAGCGACAGGGGCUGGUACUUUACAGCCGCUGGAUCCCAAUCAGGACGUCCUUUCUCUUAGAGAGGCCCGAAGCCAGAAGAGGAAGGCUGUUAGUCCAACACCUCCGGAGGAUGACCUGGAUCAGGAGAUUCAAAACCUGGAGAUCCUUCAGCAACAGGUGCAGCGCAAGAAGGAGAAGAUGGCUCGUCUAGCUGACCUUCGGAGAUAGAUAGACGAAGCUUCUGAAGAGGUUCGUCAUCUUGUUCAAGAUGAUCAGAGCCCAAGGCCUCCAUGCAGAGAGAUCCAUCAGGAAGGCUUCCACAAUGAGGACGACUGGUAUGAAGAUUUCCAUCACGGAAACUUUUCUUUCGAUGAUGAUUCUCCUCUCUCAACAGAAUUGCAGGCUACACCAUGGCCCCAGUCUUACAAGCCACCCCAGCUUCCCAUGUAUGACGGUCAUACAGACCCGAAGCAAUUCUUGAUGAGUUACGAAGCAACCAUAUCUUCGUAUGGUGGCAAUACUGCAGUCAUGGCAAAAUCUUUUGUCAUGGCCGUCAAGAGCGUCGCUCAGACCUGGUACUCUUCUCUUCGGCCAGGGACAAUCACUUCUUGGCAGAAGUUGAAGGACAUGCUGAUAACUAGCUUCCAAGGGUUUCAGACGAAGCCAGUCACUGCUCAAGCUUUAUUUCAGUGUACCCAAGACCACGAAGAAUACCUCCAAGCGUACGUCCGAAGGUUUCUGCGUCUGAGGGCACAAGCGCCAACAGUGCCCAAUGAAAUUGUCAUUGAGGCCAUGAUUAAGGGGCUUCGGCCGGGACCUUCAGCGCAGUACUUUGCCAGGAAGCCACCACAAACGUUGGAGAAGCUGCUUCAGAAGAUGGACGAAUACAUUCGAGCUGACAAUGACUUCCGCCAAAGAAGGGAGGAAGCAUUCAGGUUCUCUGAAAUGACCAGGGGCUUCGGAGGAAGAUUUCACCCGAGGCACGUUAGGUCAAUUCAUAACUCUGCUCAAACUGAUGAUCGAGGGAGUCAGCAGCAAAGGCCACAAUACUCUUCACAAGCUUCGGGCCAGUAGCAAAGUUCUUUUUGGCCGCCAGCGCCAAGGGGCAGAGGCGCCAGGGGCUUCGGGGGAAGGUUUAGAGAUCAGCCAAGAAAAAUUUAUUGCCUAUUCUGUGGUGAAGAUAAGGGCCAUACCACCAGGAUGUGUCACGUUACCAUCCAGAAGCAGAAGGAAAUAGCAGAAGCAGCUGCGCAACAAAGUCAGCCAAAGCAGGUCAUGCAUACUGCUUCGUAUCAUUCGCCUUAUAUUCCAGAAUAUGUAGGCAACCACCCUGCAGCUUCUGUUGCUUCGGCAAGCCAACCCCAAGCAUCUUGGCAGCAUCCUCCACCACCACCGCCGACGCAGCGAGGACAGCAGCCAGAAGGGAGUCAAAACAAUCACCUUCAGAGGGACUUCAGAGAGGAGUCUGAAGCUCGCACAGUCAAUAACACUGUGCCAGAGUCAAAGCACAUUUAUUGAUAAAUAUCCUAUCUCAACAGCAAUUUUUUCGCAUUUUUACAUUCAGUACUACCUUUUUGUCAAUAAGGAACAAUUAUGAGAAGUUUAUGUGUUUUUUAUCCUUUUUCAAUUUCUUGUAACACUUUCUCCUUUUUACCAUAAUAAAAAUAUGUCCUUUCCGUAGGCUUGAGUUGCCGAAGCAUACGACUUUAUGGUGGCAUGAAGGACCUUUGUAUUAUCAAAAAUUUGUUUUAACAGACACAGUGCAACUUCUGCAAAACACUGAAAAGUCGUUUCUAAUGGAGCGCAGUGUAAGUUUUCUGAAUCUACAGCGAAAAAUAAACGCUAAUUCCGCUGAAAGUAAAAGGCGAAGAAGCUCCUAAGGGAGGCUUACAGCGAAAAAUAAACGCUGAUUCCGCUGAAAGUAAAAGGCGAAGAAGCUCCUAAGGGAGGCUUACAGCGAAAAAUAAACGCUGAUUCCGCUGAAAGUAAAAGGCGAAGAAGCUCCUAAGGGAGGCUUACAGCGAAAAGUCAGCGCUGAUAUAUAAAAGUAUGUGUGCUCUAUUACAGGGAUUUAUAUCCGUGGCGCAAAUAUCAUUUUGCAUGACAUAACAUCAUCACGUCAUUUUUGCACAACAUAAGCAUCAUACAACAUAUUGCAUGUGGAACAAGAAGGGGAUACAGUGUUGAUCUUCGGAGAAUAUCUUGGAAAAGAGAAAAUUGUGCUAAGGCACAAGAUAAAUCGAGACGCAACACAAAACUUUUUUAUACCUUCGGAGAAUAUUUCACGAAGCUUGGAUAUUCUUCAUCAGAGAAGUAAGCAAAUUCUUGUGAUAUAGAAAAGAUUUUCUUCACGAAGCAUGAAAAGAAGGGAAGGUGUUUUUUCGCCGAAGGCUCAAAAAAUGGUAUGUAUGCAAAAUUUCAUGCAUCGUAAAGAAUUAAACUAUAGAUUAUAUAUUACAUUCAAAGUUACAAUAUAUUACACAUGUUACAUUCCAAAUGUUUCUACAGUAACAUUCAAUCCUCCUUAAGCACUAUUUCUGCAGCUUCAUUCAAUAGUUGGUCGACAACCUUGUCCAUAAUGGCUUCGGCCAUUUUUCUAAUUUCAUCGUCCCCCUUCGGGUGGGGGCCCGGAGAUGCCUCAGCAGGUUCUGAGGGAAGAGAAGAUACGGCUAUAUUACUAUUACAAACCGCGAACAAAGUCUCGAAUUAAAAAUUACAGCAUAAUAAAAACCACUAAUUAAUACCUAUUUGCCCUUCGGGCUCUGUACUUUUCUCCGCAGCUUCUGCUACUUUUCUGGCAUCGUGGAUGCCUUUUUCACUCUUUUGAAUAAUUUCUCGCGUCAUUUCUCGGCCGCCGUUGUCCCAGAUAUCGGUGAAGAAUUUUCCGCCGACCAUGCUUGCUUCGGCUGAGGGGUCUUUAAUAUCUUCAGAGGACAAGGUAGCUUCGGUCUGCGCUAAGGAUUUUACAUGCUCGCAGCCUUUCCUCUCCAAAACAGCAGCAAUCCCUCUAGCACCCGAAAAAGCGCAGAUGUCACCGCGGCUGUUCAGGAUUUCCUCGAAGGCCUCUGCUUCGUGACUGAUUCAUUCCAUUGGACCUUCAGGAUUGCCUUCUCUUCACUAGAGAAUGCGCCAACGCUGGCGAAGCUGGAUUUUAUCUUCUUAACGCACUCUAUGGAUUUAACAUAGCAUUUUCUCUGGGAUGCACGAAGCUCCUUAACACUUAUCUCUAAAUGAUUGGCCAAUUGAUCACUAAGCUCUCGUUUUGUUUCUUCAAGUAUACGUUCUUCUUUAGCUCUAGCUAGCUAUUUCUGAAGAUCUUUAAUUUCACGUUUUUGGGCCUCGGCCUGGGCCUUUGAGGCAGCUUCGUCCUUUUUUACCUUGUCUACCAAUGUAAGCAGAAUUUUAUCCUUUUCCAGAGCCUCGUUUCUCAGUUUAAUAACUUCUGAUCAUAGGUUGUUGAACGCAAUUUCAUAGCUUUCGUCUUCGGCAUUCUUUUGUGCUCUCAAUGCGUUGCUUAGAAUUAAACCCUAUAUGUAAAAGAGUUGGUAUAAGAAUAAAAGAAUGAGUUGUGAAUUAUAAAAUUUCCAAACGCCCAAUUCCCAUACCUUCAGGCUAUUGUAUGCAAGACUAUCCGCAAGAUCGUCCUUCGUCAUAGCACAUAAUCCAGCUUCAAGCUUUGGAAAUCCCAUACUUCUAGCCAUCUCCCGACAGACGGAUAAUUCUUUGUUGUCUGGGAGGCAGUAUAGGAAAUCUUCUUCGUUCGUCCCAUUGAACACUAGUGCCCCCUUCGGAUAUUUCAAUUCUUUGGCAUAGUGAUUAGCUUCAAAAACUUCUUCUUCCGAUAACUUUUUCCCCGAAGCAUGUCGCACGAUAUAGUCAUAUAUUUUGGAAGAUGCUUUGGGGGCGGCGGUAUCAAUUUCUUCGACCAAAGUUGGCUCUGACAUUUUCAUUUCUUCGGUUGCCUUUGCAAUUUUUGCUUCUUCUGCUUCAAAAGGUAUUACCUUGGUUGGUUCUGAAGGUCCGGUUUCAACUCCAGUCUGUUGCUUCGGAGCUUCAGCAACGCACACUUCAGCAAGCGCCUCAGAAGUUUCAGCAGUCUUCUUUGGGGUUGUGCUUGGAAGUUUAAUUGUUUCCAAAACAUCUAACACAUUAACCAUUCUUUUCCUUUUUGGGGUCACUGUUGGCCCCUUUUUAAUUUUUCAUGCUUCAAUUUCUUCUGAAGGACUUAAAAUUUCUGAUACCUUCACUCCCUCAGUUGAUGCUUUCGCUUCUUCCGUCUUUGGUUCUUCCAUCUUUUCUGUCGCUGGCACUUCGGCCAUUUCUGUGACUUCUGCCAGCAGGGUUGGCUCUUCAGCCUCGGUGGCCGAAGAGGUCUCACCGGUGAACUCAGGCACCGUGGCUGGUUCAAUAUAGCGUGGCCGGUGUGUGAGAACUUUUACCCUUUUUCUCUUCGGCGCUGGCUCGCUAGGAGCAGCUGCAGCUGUUUCUUUCGUAGAAGUUGUGCCUUUUCUUUUUUGCCCCCGUACUGGAUAGCGAUAGUCGGGGUAGACGAACCCGACUGCAUCAAACACUCGGUUGAGUCUUUUCCUUUUUCGGCCUCCGAAGGCCGCUGACAAUGCAGUGUCUUCGGCCUUCGAAUAUACCCCAAGCAAUUCAUCACUUACAGUCUCAAUGCUCUUUAACCAAUCAUCAUCUGGUUCAACGAACUUGUCUCUGUACUUAAAUGUAUACUUCAGCCUGACUAGCCCACCUUCGUCAGUUUCUUUAACAGUUUCUUUCGGCAUUUCCCAAUUAUCUGCAAGAGGCCACACUCUGAAGGCAAUGUGUUCUUGUAUUAAAUCCCUUGUCCCAAUAAAAGAGCAAACUACGCCGAAGGCCCGUUGGCAUUCUUCGGCUACUUCAUCCAUUUCUACCUUCGGUUUUCGGAGUCCGAAGCGCUGCCAGAUGGGGCACAUGAUGACAUCCUUAAUAUCUUCACGAACCUUCAAAUCAUUUUUUACAUAGAACCAUUCUUUCAUCCAUUCUCCGGGCCAUCUCUUCCGAAAGGUGGGCACGGGACAACUUGAUCCAGAGCGAGCACCGAAGUUGUAGCAACCAAAGUUGUUAUGAUAUUGCUCUUUACCCCAGGGCUUCGUUUCGUAUAACAAUUCAUGUAUAUUGCAAAAGCUUUUCGCACUUGGCUCUAGGCCCUGACUCUUCACAGCCCAGACGAAGAUUCCCAUUCUUAUUAUUGCUUCAGGGGUAAGUUGAUGAAGGUAAACCUGAUAUAUUUUCAGGACUUCUACCACAAACCUGCUUAUAGGGAAUCGUAGCCCAACUUUUAAAAAGCUUCGGAAGAUAACGACUUCAUCAUCUUCGGGAGUCGGCACAGUUCUUUCUCCGGCAUCUGCUCUCACAAUGGACAUAUCUCGAAAAUAUCUCCCCCUCAUGUUUUCAAGGUGACUUUGCCCAAUAGUUGAUUUUCCGAAGACUGAAUGGCUUGGUCGCCAUGGUCGAUCUUCGGAAUCUUCACCCCCACUGUCUACAUCAUAACUGUCACUAUCACCAGUGUCUUCAGAUAAACCUUCUAAAAUCUCCCUUGUAAUCUUCUCCGUAUUCAUCUUUGCUAUUGACUCAAGAAAACCCAGAUGCAUCUCUUCAGAAAGACUCAGCUUCAUUUCGGCAGCAACCUUCUUCUCCUCAGACAUCCCUUCGGAAUUCUUGCCUCUCGCUUUCGAAGCUUAAAACUAGGGAGGCAACCAAAUAUUUGUGGGCAGAAAACUAUUUGAGCAGGCAAAACAGAUGGCAAGAGAGCGUGCCAAAUAAAUUGUGGCGAGUCCCUAUUUAUACACCCAUUAUGUCGAAAACUGGAGGGUCCCGCUUGUCAAAGACUGUUGCUAUUCUAGCAAAGGGAAGGUGUUUUUUCGGACCUUCGGCUCAAAGCCUUCGUCCAUGUCACAAUAUAAAUUUAUCAUUCCAGCAAAUUAAUAUUGCGAGGGGCUACUGUUGGGGGCCUUCGGCUUCCGGAGGUCCUCAAAAACGUGAUUUAACAAUGUUUUCUAAGUAUGCGAGCAGGUAUCUUCGGAAUCAGGAAUCAGGUUGCGGGUAUACAGAAGCAUGGUCAAGACGAAGCUUGACUGGGACGGCGAUCGUGACGAAGGAUAAGAUGAUCACGAAGCUAUAUGCAGAAGAGCUUAGGCAUCACGGCGGAAAGGGGAAACCGACUUAAAGAUGAAAAGCCAAACUAGACCUCGAAGAAUUACUAUAGGGUUAUUGAUAAAUGUAAAGGGCAUUAUUGUAAUUUUGCAUGGGCUGCGACCCGUGCCUAUAAAUAGGUGAACAGUAUCCCUGUACUGUUCACGCUGACUUGGCAUUCACUUUUACGCCACGCCUGUAUUUUCUUUCCUUCAAGCCGAAGGUACAUUUGUAAUUUAUCUUUGCAUACACAAUUUAUAUAAAUAGAAGUAUAUUAAUAAUAAUGAUGUUUAAAGAAAUUAUGCUACUUUCUAUUCUUUGUUUGAAUGUUUUUCAUCUUUUACCAUGAUCAUGAAGGUACAUCCUUCACGACCUUCAUCCUAAAUUCGUUAUAUCCGAAGGGAAAUAACGAUUUGAAGGACGAAGGGCUUUUGAUAUUUAACAUUUUAUGUUGCCUUGUUCUUGAUUCAUAGCACUUGAGAACAAGUCCCCAACAGCCCCCAACAGCGUCGUUUGACCUCUCGAUCGCCAUAUCUCUCGAUUUCUGUGCCAUAAUUCUCUGUGUAUGUAUUUAUUCACAUUUCAUAUACUUAUGACUAUGUGACUAAUACGUGCUCACCUCUUCUGUCAUUUCAGUGACCUUGCCUGCCCGUGAGCCGUCUCAUGUCCUGCCUGGAUUCUCUCCCUCUUGUGUGAGAUUUCCAGGUAGCUAUUCGUUCUUUUGUCAUCCUAUCGGCUAUUAUCGACUUGUGCUUAGCUUCUCUCUCUCAUUUGCAGUCGUCAGGUCAGGAUGCCACGCACGAAGAAUGUGUCGGCGCCAGGGGGAGGAGAUGACGAGGACCCUCCUCGACCCUUUAGGAAGGUCAAUGGGAAGACUGUUUAUUUGGAGCAGCAGGAAGGCCGCAAGAAGCGGCGUUUGGAUAGAACAGCCCGAGCGGCUCUAGCAGCAAGAACAUCCGCUGAGCAGGCUAAGAGAGGAGAUUAGGUACAGAUUCCUUCCGAUCAGAUUGCUUACCGAGUUCGUCGCCUCGCCUCUCGGCCUCGCUCCUCCGCACCAACCACUCCCACCACUGCUACCACUCCACCACCCACUUCACCUGCUCCCAUCACUCAUGCGCCAUCCACCACCUCAGCCAUACCUACCACCUCCACUACUCCAGCUUCCACUGCUCCUCCUCCCGCUCCCCUUUCCGCUCCACCUAUCCCACCUGCCCGCUUCCGGGAGCGAGAUGAGACUGAGGUGCGACCACUAGUUGCGGAUCCCAGGUUGUUUGAUCUUCAGCGUGCUACAGCGGCACGGGUACGUCGGUUCAGACACGUACCCAUGGAGACUUGGCUACUGGCUCAGAGGGACCCUGCUGCAGUCGAUCUCUUCAGUACCCAGAUACAGGAGUCCUUCUUUCGAGCUGAGAUGUCUGCACAGAUUGCUCUACAAGUGCACCGGCUUUUGGACCUUCCUGCAUUUCUGCUAGCCGUCGAUGCUGCCUCUAAGGUACACCUCUCCUAUCUGCCUGGACUUCUCACUCUCUUGACUACCAGCGGCAGAUAUGUUGAGGAAUGGGUCCGAGUUUUCUAUGCUUCUGUAUGGAUCGACCCUGAUCACCAGUGGAUGAGAUUCCGCUUUGAGCGCGAGGAUGUUACAAUUCAUGCCAGCCAGAUUCGCCAGUUGUUUGGAUUCAACGAGUCAUCAACUCGUCUUCACAGCUUGUGCUACGGCACCUCUGAUCCUCCUCGUCGACCUCACGGCGGAGUUGCUCCUGGUACAGCUCACGUCGCGGCUUUGUUCCGACCGCCCUUCUCAGAUGGGUCACGAUGUUCUCUGGCAGACUUCACCACAGCGGCCAAGAUUUUAUAUCAGCUCAUGAGACGGACGCUUCUGCCACAGAUGGGUUACAGGGAGGCUGCUACUCAUAUCCAACUCUGGCUACUUGGUGCCAUGGUCUCUCACUCAGAGUUUGAUGUUGUGGACUUUCUUAUUUGUGAGAUUGAGGACACCGUACUGGAUGGUAUGCGUGCCCAGCGACAGCUGCCAUAUGCUCACUAUCUCUGCCACAUCUUCGCUCAGCUAAUUCGGCCACCACAGUUCUAGGGAACUCUUGAGGCCUCUCGCCUCCUCUUUGGGUCCUACCGUCCAGCCCCUGAGGAUCCUGUGUCGGCACCUUCUCAAGUGAUUGACACUCAGGCCGAGGAUACCGCUUUUCACCAGUUUGAGACUCAGGGCGCAACAGUCCCUGACGAUGAUGAUGAUGAUGACUUUGGGGUUCCGCCUCUGCCUCCACGCACUCAUGAUUAUGAGGCUAGGAGUUCCAGUGCUGCCCCUGCUAGCCCGCCUGCCAUUGGCCCUGCUCUUGCUGUGAUCCUCCAGACCCUUACUCAGCAGCAGGCUCACUUGGCCGCAGUCUAGCAGUAGAUGUUCGAGAGAAUGCUAUCGAUGUUUCAGACUAUUCAGGACAGACAGGAUACUCUACAGCAGCAGCUUCUGGCAGACCGCCAAGUAAGAAGUGUAGAACAAUUAGCUCAUAAGGACCGCCAUUGUAUAACCAUUCAUCAACAGAUGCAGCUUCCCAAAUUGGGUAAAAAUGCAAUCCGAUCGCCGCAGAAGUAGGAAUAAUAGCACCAGAGAUAAUAUUGUUUCCAUAAAGUAAAGAACCAGAAACAGGCUCACGAAUACCAUCAAUAUCUACUGGAGGAGCAGCGAUGAAGGCGAUAAUAUAUACGGAAGUUGUGGUCAAUAAGGUAGGGAUCAUCAAAACACCAAACCAUCCAAUGUAAAGACGGUUUUCGGUGCUAGUUAUCUAGUUGCAGAAGCGACCCCACAGGCUUGUACUUUCGCGUCUCUCUAAAAUUGCAGUCAUGGUAAGGUCUUGGUUUAUUCAAAUUGCAAGGACUGGGCUGAGAACAGGGCCUUCAUGACUCUCAUGCUUUAGCAUACCGGUGUUCCAAUUCCCCUAGUUCAAUCAGCACCGCCUCCACCUCUUCAGGCUAUUGUUGUGCCAGCCAUUCAGGCAGGACCUCCUCUUCCUACAGUUGGUCCUUCUUCCUCUCCGCUCCGACCAAUCACCCUGGUUUUCUCGUCGUCGGUCAUCAGCUUCGUCAGCACUCAGCCGCCAGUGCCCCCAGCUCCUGCUGUUACCACUACUGUUGUGGCGGUAUCUGUGACCUCUUCAGCUCCGGCAGCUCCUGCAGCAUAGCCUCCGUCCGAGUCAGUACCAGCUCCAGCUUCUAUGGCAGAUCCUGGAUCUGAGACUGACUCUGACCCGCAGCUGGCAUUCGCUCUUCUGCCACGACCACGACCGGAUGCGCCCCCGCCACCUCCUUCCUCUUCUGGUGUGUAGGUUUGAGUUCCCUUUUGGUGUUUGACGCCAAAGGGGGAGAGAUAUGUGAGUUGUGAGAGCUAGGGGAGUUAGGGAGUUAGUAGAGAGUCAUUUUGAUUUAAUAUAUGUGCUCGUUACUCUCUGUACUAGCUCCACUUUUGUAUGAUGAUUUUGGCUCACAAACUCUAUUAUAUACUCUCAAUGCUUAGGUUGACUACGUGUGCAUUAUGUUUUCACAUUAUAUGUUAUCACCAGUCUUCUAGUUCUUGUUCAUCGAUUUGAUUUCACUUUUAUAUGAACAAAACUUACGAUGUGUAUGCGCUCAUUCCUAUUACUAUGUUACACACUCUUUCUGUCAAAGACUAUUGAGUACAACUAACCAUCUUUUCUAUUGACAGAAAUUUCAAAAACAAACUACUCUCACAAACCUUGUAGGGUUAUCAUCAAUCACCAAAAAGAGGGAGAUUGAAAGCAUCUAGGCCCCUCACUACAGGAAACGCAUAAAUUUUCAUGGGCCAAAAACCCACGAAAAUAAGGGUAAACCGACGAAAAAAGUCUAUUUUUGUCGGCAUGCCGACGAAAAUAGCCGCCGAAAAUAAAUUCGACGAAAAUGCACAACUAGGCUUAAGCCAGCUUCGAGCUUCGGAAACCCCAUGCUUCUAGACAUCUCCCGGCAGACGGACAAUUCUUUAUUGUCUGGGAGGCAGUAUAGGAAAUCCUCUUCGUCCGUCCCAUUGAAUACUAGUGCCCCCUUCGGAUAUUUUAAUUCUUUGGCAUAGUGGUUAGCUUCAAAAACUUCUUCUUCCGAUAACUUUUUCCCUGAAGCAUGACGCACAAUAUAAUCGUAUAUUUUGGAAGAUGCUUCGGGGACAGCAGUAUCAAUUUCUUCGACCAAAAUAGGCUCUAACAUUUUUAUUUCUUUAGUCGCCUUUUCAAUUCUUGCUUCUUCUGCUUCCAAAGGUAUUACCUUGGUUGGUUCUGAAGGCUCAGUUUCAACUACAGUCUGUUGCUUUGGAGCCUUAGCAACGGAUACUUCCACAGGCGCCUCUGAAGUUUCAGCAGUCUUCUUUGGAGUUGUGCUUGGAAGUUUAAUUGUCUCCAAAACAUCCAACACAUUGACCAUUCUUUUUUCUUUUUGGGGUCACUGUUGGCCCCUUUUUUCUUGCUACUUCAAUUUCUACUGAAGGACUUAAAAUUUCUGAUAUUUUUGCUCCCUCAGUUGAUGCUUUUGCUUCUUCCAUCUUUUCUGUCGAUGGUGCUUCACCAUCUCUUUGGUUUCUGGUAACAGAAUCUUUGGUUCAUCCAAUUCCUUUGUUGUUGGCGCUUCGGCCAUUCCUGCGACUUCUGGCAGCAGGGUUGGCUCUUCAGCCUCGGUGGCCGGAGAAGUCUCUCCGGUGAAUUCAGGCACCGUGGCUGGUUCAAUAUAGCAUGGCCGAUGUGUGAGAACUUUUAUCCUCUUUCUCUUCGGUGCUGGCUCACUAGGAGCAGCUGCAGCUUUUUCUUUCGCAGAAGUUGUGCCUUUUCUUUUUUGCCCUCGUAUUGGAUAGCGAUAGUCGGGGUAGACGAACCCGAUUGCAUCAAAUACCCGGUUGAGUCUUUUCCUUUUUCGGCCUCCGAAGGCCGCUUACAAAGCAGUAUCUUCGGCCUUCGAGUAUGCCCCAAGCAAUUCAUCACUUACAGUCUCAAUGCUCUUUAACCAAUCAUCAUCUGGUUCAACGAAUUUGUCUCCAUACUUGAAUGUGUACCUUAGCCGGACUAGCCAACCUUCGUCAGUUUCUUUAAUAGUUUCUUUCGGCAUUUCCCAAUUAUCCGCAAGAGGCCACACUCUGAAGGCAAUAUGUUCUUGUGUUAAAUCCCUCGUCCCAAUAAAAGAGCAAACAACUCCGAAGGCUCUCUGGCAUUCUUCGGCUGCUUCAUUCAUUUCCACCUUCGGCCUUCGCAGGCUGAAGCGUUGCCAGAUGGGAUGCAUAAUGAUCUUCUUUACAUCUUCUCGAGAUUUCAAGUCAUUUUUCACGUAAAACCAUUCCGUCAUCCAGUCGCCAGGCCACCUCUUGCGAAAGGUCGGCACUGGGCAGCUUGACCCAGAACGAGAGCCGAAGCUAUAACAGCCAAAGUUGUUGUGAUAUUGUUCCUUACCCCAGGGUUUUGUCUCGUAUAACAAUUCGUGUAUAUUGUAGAAGCUCUUUGCAUCAGGUUCCAAGCCUUGGCUCCUCACAGCCCACACGAAAAUAUUCAUCCUUAUGAUCGCUUCGGGGAUAAGUUGGUGAAGGUGGAUUUCAAAUAUCUUCAGCACCUCCACAACAAAACGGCUCAGGGGAAAUCGUAGUCCAGCUUUCAAGAAGCUUCGAAAUACUACAACUUCAUUUUCCUCAGGAGUUGGGCAAGUCUUCUCUCCCUCGUCGGCCCUUACAAUAGACAAAUCCCGGAAAUAUCUUCCCCUCAUGUUGGCAAGAUGACUUUCUUUAAUACUUGAUUUGCCGAAAACCGCAUGGCUUCGUCGCCAAGGUCGAUCUUCGGAGUCUUCGCCACCACUAUCCGCAUCAUAGCUGUCGCUAUCACCAGUAUCUUCAGAUAAACCUUCCAAAAUUUCUUUAGUGAUCUUCUCUGUAUUAGUCUUCGACAUAGAUUGAAGAAAACCCAGAUGCAUCUCUUCAGAAAGACUCAGCUUCAUUUCGGCAACAACCUUCUUCUCCUCAGACAUCUCUUCGGAAUUCUUGCCUCUCGCUUCCGAAGCUUAAUACUAGGGAGGCAACAAAAUAUUUGUGGCCAGAAAAUUAUUUGAGCAGGCAAAACAGAUGGCAAGGGAGCGUGCCGAAUAAAUUGUGGCGAGCCCGUAUUUACAAACCCAUUAUGUCGGAGACUGGAGGGCCCCAUUUGCCAAUGACUGUUGCUAUUCUAGCAAAAGGAAGGUGUUUUUUCGGACCUUCGGCUUAUAGCCUUCGUCCAUUUCGCAAUCUGAAUUCAUCAUUCUGACAAAUUAAUAUUGCGAGGGGCUACUGUUGGGGGCCUUCGGCUUCCGAAGGUCCUCAAAAACAUGUUUUAACAAUGUUUCUGGAGUAAAGUAUGUUAACAGGUACCUUCGGAUUCGGAUCAGAGCCACGGUACGAAGAAGCACAAAGGUUGGCGCAGAGCCGAAGCUGUGUGUAGAAGAGCUUCGGAGUAGCGGUGGAAAAGGAAACCGACUUAAAGAUGAAAAACCAGAUUAGACCUCGAAGAGUUAUCAUAGAGUUAUUGAUAAAUGUAAAGGGCAUUAUUGUAAUUUUCCAUGGGCUGCGACCCGUGCCUAUAAAUAGGUGAACAGUAUCCCCGUACUGUUCACGCUGAUUCGACAUUGGCUUUGGCAUCACACUUGUGCUUCUACCUUCUUUACGAGCUGAAGGUACACUUAUAAUUUAAUAUUAUCUUUAUCUUUCCAUCAUAAUAAAAUGGAAAUGAUUCGACAACAUUAAACAACUGUUUAUGUUAUCUUCAUGUUUCAUAUGAUCCUUUCUUCAUUAUUAUAUUUUAUGCUGAUGAAGGUAUGUCCUUCAUAACCUUCGCCCGAAAAUCAUUAUAUCCUUAAGGAAAUAAUGCUUAGAAGGACGAAGGAUAUUAAUAUUUAACAUUUUGUGUUGCCUUGUUCUUGAUCCAUAGCAUUUGAGAACAAGUCACCAACAAAUACAGAAUUCACAAACCACAUCCACAAUCAAUACCAUAAUUGUUUCAAACCACAAUCACAUCCAUAAUAAAGUCCAUACAUAGUCCAUAGACAAACUCACUCAUGGCAAGUCUCACUCCUGCGGGCUGUGGGAGUUUUGGCCACUCCCUCCUCCGCCACCAGGAAGGUGGCCACUCCCUCCGGAACCAUGGACGAGGUAGUCUUGGACGUUGACAGCACCCUCCGAUCCCUGAGCAUGUGACACUGAACCCUGCAAUUCAUCAAUCAUUCAAAUAAGGUUGUGUUUUGCUAUCCAUAUACCUAUACAUUGCUAUGUUUGGUCACUAUUUGCAUAAAACUAAACAUGGAACGUCACCUGUGAUCCAUUGUGCUGAGGAGGCUGUGCAUGCAUCCAUGGGUAAUGUUGUGCUGGCCACCCCUGGGGUGGUGGCACCCACCCCGGCGGUGGCGGUGCCAUCCACGCUUGAAGUGGCUGAGAGCCCGGCAGUGGCUGGGAGACCGGUGGCACCCAUCCCGGGGUUGGCUGCGAUCCCUGGGGUGGUGGAGCCGUCCAAGUGCCUGGAGGUGCCUGCGUCCACCCAACACCGGUCCACAGUGGCUGCGACGCUGGAGCUAGCUGAGAUCCCUGGAGUGGUGGCGUAAAUGGCUGCAACUCUGGAGCUUGUCCUGGCCACUGUCCCCAUCCUUGUGCCUGCGAGCCAUUUUUUAUAAUAAAAAAGAGUUGCUAUGGAAUUGAAGUGUUCAGAUAGUGUUACCUGGGGAGGGCAAAAAGCGGGCAAGUUCAUAUCAGGGCCGAGUCGAGAAGUCAUUUCCUGCAAAUGGAUGAAACGUUAGAAUCGCAACAUUAUACUUUGAAUUCAAUAACACGUGAUGAGAUAGAUGAAUUACCUGAAAAUAAGAAGCCAUAUACUGCGUCAGCUGUCCGACCUGCUCCUGCGCUGCUCGAGCUUGCUGCUGUGCUGCUCGAGCCUGCUCCUGUGCUGCUCGAGUCUCCUCCUCCACCUAAGCCUCUCGAGCAGACCUAGAGGAGCGAGAACUCCCUUGACCUAUUGUCCUGUUAUACUCCACAACGCCGGUGCCAAAGGCAAACCUGCAUGAUACACAUAGUUGAGCCAUUAAGUGGACAUAUUCUUGUUAAUGAAAUUGUCGAAUCAAACACAAACACCUCACCUGCCAUGCUUUCUACCCCCACCACUGUGGUACAACGCCGAGGCAUCUAAGUCCGAAUGCAUCCAGUCGAAGUCAGGCCCAUGGCGUUGAAUCAUUUCCUCCCCAUAUGCAUUCUGCAAAGAAAGUUAGAGUUGGAGUUAGACACAAAACAUGCAAUUUAAUUCAUAAAUACAAACUUGUUUACCAUUUUCUCCCUUGCCGCCUCGCUGCAUAGCACAUCAGGGUUCACCGGAUCAGGGCCACGGUGACCACGAACGUAAACCUCCAUAAAACUUGGAGCAACUACACUUUCAGCUUCCUGCAUGAAAAAGAAGAGUUAAACCAUAGAAUUUUCAUAGAUGUAACAUACAAGUUUGAUUUACAUACUUACCAUGCGGCGUGCGGUACCAAGGUGUCCAUCGGCGCCGUACCUGUGCCCCAGUCCUUCAGUGCCACGGUUGGCACGGUGCUUCUGGGACUCUGCAAUCCACUUAGGCGACGCCCAUCUCUUAGCCAACCACCUCCAGGCUUCCAUGUCCUUCGCAAGCCAAUCCACAACGCUCUCCAGGUACUACUCCUCUGUGAGGUAGAUCUCAUUGGCCCCUUUUAUCGAUGUUUCAGACUAUUCAGGACAGACAGGAUACUCUACAGCAGCAGCUUCUGGCAGACCGCCAAGUAAGAAGUGUAGAACAAUUAGCUCAUAAGGACCGCCAUUGUAUAACCAUUCAUCAACAGAUGCAGCUUCCCAAAUUGGGUAAAAAUGCAAUCCGAUCGCCGCAGAAGUAGGAAUAAUAGCACCAGAGAUAAUAUUGUUUCCAUAAAGUAAAGAACCAGAAACAGGCUCACGAAUACCAUCAAUAUCUACUGGAGGAGCAGCGAUGAAGGCGAUAAUAUAUACGGAAGUUGUGGUCAAUAAGGUAGGGAUCAUCAAAACACCAAACCAUCCAAUGUAAAGACGGUUUUCGGUGCUAGUUAUCUAGUUGCAGAAGCGACCCCACAGGCUUGUACUUUCGCGUCUCUCUAAAAUUGCAGUCAUGGUAAGGUCUUGGUUUAUUCAAAUUGCAAGGACUGGGCUGAGAACAGGGCCUUCAUGACUCUCAUGCUUUAGCAUACCGGUGUUCCAAUUCCCCUAGUUCAAUCAGCACCGCCUCCACCUCUUCAGGCUGUUGUUGUGCCAGCCAUUCAGGCAGGACCUCCUCUUCCUACAGUUGGUCCUUCUUCCUCUCCGCUCCGACCGAUCACCCUGGUUUUCUCGUCGUCGGUCAUCAGCUUCGUCAGCACUCAACCGCCAGUGCCCCCAGCUCCUGCUGUUACCACUACUGUUGUGGCGGUAUCUGUGACCUCUUCAGCUCCGGCAGCUCCUGCAGCAUAGCCUCCGUCCGAGUCAGUACCAGCUCCAGCUUCUAUGGCAGAUCCUGGAUCUGAGACUGACUCUGACCCGUAGCUGGCAUUCGCUCUUCUGCCACGACCACGACCGGAUGCGCCCCCGCCACCUCCUUCCUCUUCUGGUGUGUAGGUUUGAGUUCCCUUUUGGUGUUUGACGCCAAAGGGGGAGAGAUAUGUGAGUUGUGAGAGCUAGGGGGAGUUAGGGAGUUAGUAGAGAGUCAUUUUGAUGUAAUAUAUGUGCUCGUUACUCUCUGUACUAGCUCCACUUUUGUAUGAUGAUUUUGGCUCACAAACUCUAUUAUAUACUCUCAAUGCUUAGGUUGACUACGUGUGCAUUAUGUUUUCACAUUAUAUGUUAUCACCAGUCUUCUAGUUCUUGUUCAUCGAUUUGAUUUCACUUUUAUAUGAACAAGAAACUUACGAUGUGUAUGCGCUCAUUCCUAUUACUAUGUUACACACUCUUUCUGUCAAAGACUAUUGAGUACAACUAACCAUCUUUUCUAUUGACAGAAAUUUCAAAAACAAACUACUCUCACAAACCUUGUAGGGUUAUCAUCAAUCACCAAAAAGAGGGAGAUUGAAAGCAUCUAGGCCCCUCACUACAGGAAACGCAUAAAUUUUCAUGGGCCAAAAACCCACGAAAAUAAGGGUAAACCGACGAAAAAAGUCUAUUUUUGUCGGCAUGCCGACGAAAAUAGCCGCCGAAAAUAAAUUCGACGAAAAUGCACAACUAGGCUUAAGCCAGCUUCGAGCUUCGGAAACCCCAUGCUUCUAGACAUCUCCCGGCAGACGGACAAUUCUUUAUUGUCUGGGAGGCAGUAUAGGAAAUCCUCUUCGUCCGUCCCAUUGAAUACUAGUGCCCCCUUCGGAUAUUUUAAUUCUUUGGCAUAGUGAUUAGCUUCAAAAACUUCUUCUUCCAAUAACUUUUUCCCUGAAGCAUGACGCACAAUAUAAUCGUAUAUUUUGGAAGAUGCUUCGGGGACAGCAGUAUCAAUUUCUUCGACCAAAAUAGGCUCUAACAUUUUUAUUUCUUUAGUCGCCUUUUCAAUUCUUGCUUCUUCUGCUUCCAAAGGUAUUACCUUGGUUGGUUCUGAAGGCUCAGUUUCAACUACAGUCUGUUGCUUUGGAGCCUUAGCAACGGAUACUUCCACAGGCGCCUCUGAAGUUUCAGCAGUCUUCUUUGGAGUUGUGCUUGGAAGUUUAAUUGUCUCCAAAACAUCCAACACAUUGACCAUUCUUUUUUCUUUUUGGGGUCACUGUUGGCCCCUUUUUUCUUGCUACUUCAAUUUCUACUGAAGGACUUAAAAUUUCUGAUAUUUUUGCUCCCUCAGUUGAUGCUUUUGCUUCUUCCAUCUUUUCUGUCGAUGGUGCUUCACCAUCUCUUUGGUUUCUGGUAACAGAAUCUUUGGUUCAUCCAAUUCCUUUGUUGUUGGCGCUUCGGCCAUUCCUGCGACUUCUGGCAGCAGGGUUGGCUCUUCAGCCUCGGUGGCCGGAGAAGUCUCUCCGGUGAAUUCAGGCACCGUGGCUGGUUCAAUAUAGCAUGGCCGAUGUGUGAGAACUUUUAUCCUCUUUCUCUUCGGUGCUGGCUCACUAGGAGCAGCUGCAGCUUUUUCUUUCGCAGAAGUUGUGCCUUUUCUUUUUUGCCCUCGUAUUGGAUAGCGAUAGUCGGGGUAGACGAACCCGAUUGCAUCAAAUACCCGGUUGAGUCUUUUCCUUUUUCGGCCUCCGAAGGCCGCUUACAAAGCAGUAUCUUCGGCCUUCGAGUAUGCCCCAAGCAAUUCAUCACUUACAGUCUCAAUGCUCUUUAACCAAUCAUCAUCUGGUUCAACGAAUUUGUCUCCAUACUUGAAUGUGUACCUUAGCCGGACUAGCCAACCUUCGUCAGUUUCUUUAAUAGUUUCUUUCGGCAUUUCCCAAUUAUCCGCAAGAGGCCACACUCUGAAGGCAAUAUGUUCUUGUGUUAAAUCCCUCGUCCCAAUAAAAGAGCAAACAACUCCGAAGGCUCUCUGGCAUUCUUCGGCUGCUUCAUUCAUUUCCACCUUCGGCCUUCGCAGGCUGAAGCGUUGCCAGAUGGGAUGCAUAAUGAUCUUCUUUACAUCUUCUCGAGAUUUCAAGUCAUUUUUCACGUAAAACCAUUCCGUCAUCCAGUCGCCAGGCCACCUCUUGCGAAAGGUCGGCACUGGGCAGCUUGACCCAGAACGAGAGCCGAAGCUAUAACAGCCAAAGUUGUUGUGAUAUUGUUCCUUACCCCAGGGUUUUGUCUCGUAUAACAAUUCGUGUAUAUUGUAGAAGCUCUUUGCAUCAGGUUCCAAGCCUUGGCUCCUCACAGCCCACACGAAAAUAUUCAUCCUUAUGAUCGCUUCGGGGAUAAGUUGGUGAAGGUGGAUUUCAAAUAUCUUCAGCACCUCCACAACAAAACGGCUCAGGGGAAAUCGUAGUCCAGCUUUCAAGAAGCUUCGAAAUACUACAACUUCAUUUUCCUCAGGAGUUGGGCAAGUCUUCUCUCCCUCGUCGGCCCUUACAAUAGACAAAUCCCGGAAAUAUCUUCCCCUCAUGUUGGCAAGAUGACUUUCUUUAAUACUUGAUUUGCCGAAAACCGCAUGGCUUCGUCGCCAAGGUCGAUCUUCGGAGUCUUCGCCACCACUAUCCGCAUCAUAGCUGUCGCUAUCACCAGUAUCUUCAGAUAAACCUUCCAAAAUUUCUUUAGUGAUCUUCUCUGUAUUAGUCUUCGACAUAGAUUGAAGAAAACCCAGAUGCAUCUCUUCAGAAAGACUCAGCUUCAUUUCGGCAACAACCUUCUUCUCCUCAGACAUCUCUUCGGAAUUCUUGCCUCUCGCUUCCGAAGCUUAAUACUAGGGAGGCAACAAAAUAUUUGUGGCCAGAAAAUUAUUUGAGCAGGCAAAACAGAUGGCAAGGGAGUGUGCCGAAUAAAUUGUGGCGAGCCCGUAUUUACAAACCCAUUAUGUCGGAGACUGGAGGGCCCCAUUUGCCAAUGACUGUUGCUAUUCUAGCAAAAGGAAGGUGUUUUUUCGGACCUUCGGCUUAUAGCCUUCGUCCAUUUCGCAAUCUGAAUUCAUCAUUCUGACAAAUUAAUAUUGCGAGGGGCUACUGUUGGGGGCCUUCGGCUUCCGAAGGUCCUCAAAAACAUGUUUUAACAAUGUUUCUGGAGUAAAGUACGUUAACAGGUACCUUCGGAUUCGGAUCAGAGCCACGGUACGAAGAAGCACAAAGGUUGGCGCAGAGCCGAAGCUGUGUGUAGAAGAGCUUCAGAGUAGCGGUGGAAAAGGAAACCGACUUAAAGAUGAAAAACCAGAUUAGACCUCGAAGAGUUAUCAUAGAGUUAUUGAUAAAUGUAAAGGGCAUUAUUGUAAUUUUCCAUGGGCUGCGACCCGUGCCUAUAAAUAGGUGAACAGUAUCCCCGUACUGUUCACGCUGAUUCGACAUUGGCUUUGGCAUCACACUUGUGCUUCUACCUUCUUUACGAGCUGAAGGUACACUUAUAAUUUAAUAUUAUCUUUAUCUUUCCAUCAUAAUAAAAUGGAAAUGAUUCGACAACAUUAAACAACUGUUUAUGUUAUCUUCAUGUUUCAUAUGAUCCUUUCUUCAUUAUUAUAUUUUAUGCUGAUGAAGGUAUGUCCUUCAUAACCUUCGCCCGAAAAUCAUUAUAUCCUUAAGGAAAUAAUGCUUAGAAGGACGAAGGAUAUUAAUAUUUAACAUUUUGUGUUGCCUUGUUCUUGAUCCAUAGCAUUUGAGAACAAGUCACCAACAAAUACAGAAUUCACAAACCACAUCCACAAUCAAUACCAUAAUUGUUUCAAACCACAAUCACAUCCAUAAUAAAGUCCAUACAUAGUCCAUAGACAAACUCACUCAUGGCAAGUCUCACUCCUGCGGGCUGUGGGAGUUUUGGCCACUCCCUCCUCCGCCACCAGGAAGGUGGCCACUCCCUCCGGAACCAUGGACGAGGUAGUCUUGGACGUUGACAGCACCCUCCGAUCCCUGAGCAUGUGACACUGAACCCUGCAAUUCAUCAAUCAUUCAAAUAAGGUUGUGUUUUGCUAUCCAUAUACCUAUACAUUGCUAUGUUUGGUCACUAUUUGCAUAAAACUAAACAUGGAACGUCACCUGUGAUCCAUUGUGCUGAGGAGGCUGUGCAUGCAUCCAUGGGUAAUGUUGUGCUGGCCACCCCUGGGGUGGUGGCACCCACCCCGGCGGUGGCGGUGCCAUCCACGCUUGAAGUGGCUGAGAGCCCGGCAGUGGCUGGGAGACCGGUGGCACCCAUCCCGGGGUUGGCUGCGAUCCCUGGGGUGGUGGAGCCGUCCAAGUGCCUGGAGGUGCCUGCGUCCACCCAACACCGGUCCACAGUGGCUGCGACGCUGGAGCUAGCUGAGAUCCCUGGAGUGGUGGCGUAAAUGGCUGCAACUCUGGAGCUUGUCCUGGCCACUGUCCCCAUCCUUGUGCCUACGAGCCAUUUUUUAUAAUAAAAAAGAGUUGCUAUGGAAUUGAAGUGUUCAGAUAGUGUUACCUGGGGAGGGCAAAAAGCGGGCAAGUUCAUAUCAGGGCCGAGUCGAGAAGUCAUUUCCUGCAAAUGGAUGAAACGUUAGAAUCGCAACAUUAUACUUUGAAUUCAAUAACACGUGAUGAGAUAGAUGAAUUACCUGAAAAUAAGAAGCCAUAUACUGCGUCAGCUGUCCGACCUGCUCCUGCGCUGCUCGAGCUUGCUGCUGUGCUGCUCGAGCCUGCUCCUGUGCUGCUUGAGUCUCCUCCUCCACCUAAGCCUCUCGAGCAGACCUAGAGGAGCGAGAACUCCCUUGACCUAUUGUCCUGUUAUACUCCACAACGCCGGUGCCAAAGGCAAACCUGCAUGAUACACAUAGUUGAGCCAUUAAGUGGACAUAUUCUUGUUAAUGAAAUUGUCGAAUCAAACACAAACACCUCACCUGCCAUGCUUUCUACCCCCACCACUAUGGUACAACGCCGAGGCAUCUAAGUCCGAAUGCAUCCAGUCGAAGUCAGGCCCAUGGCGUUGAGUCAUUUCCUCCCCAUAUGCAUUCUGCAAAGAAAGUUAGAGUUGGAGUUAGACACAAAACAUGCAAUUUAAUUCAUAAAUACAAACUUGUUUACCAUUUUCUCCCUUGCCGCCUCGCUGCAUAGCACAUCAGGGUUCACCGGAUCAGGGCCACGGUGACCACGAACGUAAACCUCCAUAAAACUUGGAGCAACUACACUUUCAGCUUCCUGCAUGAAAAAGAAGAGUUAAACCAUAGAAUUUUCAUAGAUGUAACAUACAAGUUUGAUUUACAUACUUACCAUGCGGCGUGCGGUACCAAGGUGUCCAUCGGCGCCGUACCUGUGCCCCGGUCCUUCAGUGCCACGGUUGGCACGGUGCUUCUGGGACUCUGCAAUCCACUUAGGCGACGCCCAUCUCUUAGCCAACCACCUCCAGGCUUCCAUGUCCUUCGCAAGCCAAUCCACAACGCUCUCCAGGUACUACUCCUCUGUGAGGUAGAUCUCAUUGGCCCCUUUUAUCGAUGUUUCAGACUAUUCAGGACAGACAGGAUACUCUACAGCAGCAGCUUCUGGCAGACCGCCAAGUAAGAAGUGUAGAACAAUUAGCUCAUAAGGACCGCCAUUGUAUAACCAUUCAUCAACAGAUGCAGCUUCCCAAAUUGGGUAAAAAUGCAAUCCGAUCGCCGCAGAAGUAGGAAUAAUAGCAUCAGAGAUAAUAUUGUUUCCAUAAAGUAAAGAACCAGAAACAGGCUCACGAAUACCAUCAAUAUCUACUGGAGGAGCAGCGAUGAAGGCGAUAAUAUAUACGGAAGUUGUGGUCAAUAAGGUAGGGAUCAUCAAAACACCAAACCAUCCAAUGUAAAGACGGUUUUCGGUGCUAGUUAUCCAGUUGCAGAAGCGACCCCACAGGCUUGUACUUUCGCGUCUCUCUAAAAUUGCAGUCAUGGUAAGGUCUUGGUUUAUUCAAAUUGCAAGGACUGGGCUGAGAACAGGGCCUUCAUGACUCUCAUGCUUUAGCAUACCGGUGUUCCAAUUCCCCUAGUUCAAUCAGCACCGCCUCCACCUCUUCAGGCUGUUGUUGUGCCAGCCAUUCAGGCAGGACCUCCUCUUCCUACAGUUGGUCCUUCUUCCUCUCCGCUCCGACCGAUCACCCUGGUUUUCUCGUCGUCGGUCAUCAGCUCCGUCAGCACUCAGCCGCCAGUGCCCCCAGCUCCUGCUAUUACCACUACUGUUGUGGCGGUAUCUGUGACCUCUUCAGCUCCGGCAGCUCCUGCAGCAUAGCCUCCGUCCGAGUCAGUACCAGCUCCAGCUUCUAUGGCAGAUCCUGGAUCUGAGACUGACUCUGACCGGUAGCUAGCAUUCGCUCUUCUGCCACGACCACGACCGGAUGCGCCCCCGCCACCUCCUUCCUCUUCUGGUGUGUAGGUUUGAGUUCCCUUUUGGUGUUUGACGCCAAAGGGGGAGAGAUAUGUGAGUUGUGAGAGCUAGGGGGAGUUAGGGAGUUAGUAGAGAGUCAUUUUGAUGUAAUAUAUGUGCUCGUUACUCUCUGUACUAGCUCCACUUUUGUAUGAUGAUUUUGGCUCACAAACUCUAUUAUAUACUCUCAAUGCUUAGGUUGACUACGUGUGCAUUAUGUUUUCACAUUAUAUGUUAUCACCAGUCUUCUAGUUCUUGUUCAUCGAUCUGAUUUCACUUUUAUAUGAACAAGAAACUUACGAUGUGUAUGCGCUCAUUCCUAUUACUAUGUUACACACUCUUUCUGUCAAAGACUAUUGAGUACAACUAACCAUCUUUUCUAUUGACAGAAAUUUCAAAAACAAACUACUCUCACAAACCUUGUAGGGUUAUCAUCAAUCACCAAAAAGAGGGAGAUUGAAAGCAUCUAGGCCCCUCACUACAGGAAACGCAUAAAUUUUCAUGGGCCAAAAACCCACGAAAAUAAGCGUAAACCGACGAAAAAAGUCUAUUUUCGUCGGCAUGCCGAUGAAAAUAGCCGCCGAAAAUAAAUUCGACGAAAAUGCACAACUAUUUUCGUCGGUACCGACGUUAAUGACUUAUUUUCGUCGGCUUCCCCAAGGCCGACGAAAAUAGGUGCUGCAGCGGGGUAUUUUCGUUGGCCACCGUGGCCGACGAAAAUAGGGCGCUUUAUUUUCGUCGGCUUCCACGUGCCCACGAAAAUACCUGGUCGGGAGCUAUCUUCGGCCUGCAUGUAUUUUCGUCGGCCUUCGUGCAGGCCGACGAAAAUUCAUGGUACCCCCCCCCAAAACAGAUUUUUCUGCACCUUGUAAUUCAUAGCAAAAUACACAUAAUCCACAAUCACAUAUACAAUAAACAAUUUCAAUACUGUUGGGGGCCUUCGGCUUCCGAAGGUCCUCAAAAACAUGUUUUAACAAUGUUUCUGGAGUAAAGUACGUUAACAGGUACCUUCGGAUUCGGAUCAGAGCCACGGUACGAAGAAGCACAAAGGUUGGCGCAGAGCCGAAGCUGUGUGUAGAAGAGCUUCGGAGUAGCGGCGGAAAAGGAAACCGAGUUAUUGAUAAAUGUAAAGGGCAUUAUUGUAAUUUUCCAUGGGCUGCGACCCGUGCCUAUAAAUAGGUGAACAGUAUCCCCGUACUGUUCACGCUGAUUCGACAUUGGCUUUGGCAUCACACUUGUGCUUCUACCUUCUUUACGAGCUGAAGGUACACUUAUAAUUUAAUAUUAUCUUUAUCUUUCCAUCAUAAUAAAAUGGAAAUGAUUCGACAACAUUACACAACUGUUUAUGUUAUCUUCAUGUUUCAUAUGAUCCUUUCUUCAUUAUUAUAUUUUAUGCUGAUGAAGGUAUGUCCUUCAUAACCUUCGCCCGAAAAUCAUUAUAUCCUUAAGGAAAUAAUGCUUAGAAGGACGAAGGAUAUUAAUAUUUAACAUUUUGUGUUGCCUUGUUCUUGAUCCAUAGCAUUUGAGAACAAGUCACCAACAUUGGCACCCACCUCCGGUGAACUCACUUCCAUUUUUUGAGUCUUGAACACUUUCGGCAAGCAUCACCUUCGUCAUGCCGCCGAAAAAAGCUUCAGCAGCAGGGGCUGGUACUUUACAGCCGCUGGAUCCCAAUCAGGAUGUCCUUUCUCUUAGAGAGGCCCGAAGCCAGAAGAGGAAGGCUGUUAGUCCAACACCUCCGGAGGAUGCCCUGGAUCAGGAGAUCCAAAACCUAGAAAUCCUUCAGCAACAGGUGCAACGCAAGAAGGAGAAGAUGGCUCGUCUAGCUGAUCUUCAGAUACAGAUAGACGAAGCUUCUGAAGAGGUUCGUCAUCUUGUUCAAGAUGAUCAAAGCCGAAGGCCUCCACGCAGAGAGCUUCAUCAGGAAGGCUUCCACAAUGAGGAUGACUGGUAUGAAGAUUUUCAUCAUGGAAACUUUGCUUUUGAUGAUGCUUCUCCUCUCUCAACAGAAUUGCAGGCUACACCAUGGCCUCAGUCCUACAAGCCACCCCAGCUCCCCAUGUAUGACGGUCAUACAGACCCCAAGCAAUUCCUGAUGAGCUACGAAGCGACCAUAUCUUCGUAUGGUGGCAAUACGGCAGUCAUGGCAAAAUCUUUUGUCAUGGCCGUCAGGAGCGUUGCUCAGACUUGGUACUCUUCUCUUCGGCCAGGGACAAUCACUUCUUGGCAGAAAUUGAAGGAUAUGCUGGUAACUAGCUUCCAAGGGUUUCAGACGAAGCCAGUCACCGCUCAGGCUCUCUUCCAGUGUACCCAGGACCAUGAAGAGUACCUUCAGGCGUAUGUCCGGAGGUUUCUGCGUCUGAGGGCACAAGCGCCAACAGUGCCCAAUGAAAUUGUCAUUGAGGCCAUGAUUAAGGGGCUUCGGCCGGGACCAUCAGCGCAGUACUUUGCCAGGAAGCCACCACAAACGUUGGAGAAGCUGCUCCAGAAGAUGGAUGAAUACAUUCGAGCUGACAAUGACUUCCGCCAAAGAAGGGAGGAAGCAUUCAGGUUCUCUGAAAUGACCAGGGGCUUCAGAGGAAGAUUUCACCCGAGGCAUGUUAGGUCAAUCCAUAACUCUGCUCAAACUGAUGAUCGAGGGAGCCAGCAGCAAAGGCCACAACACUCUUCACAAGCUUCGGCCCAACAGCAGAGUUCUUUUCGGCCGCCAGCGCCAAGGGGCAGAGGCGCCACGGGCUUCAGGGGAAGGUUUGGAGACCAGCCAAGAAAAAUAUAUUGCCUAUUCUGUGGUGAAGACAAGGGCCAUACUACCAGGAUGUGCCAUGUUACCAUCCAGAAGCAGAAGGAAAUAGCGGAAGCAGCAGCGCAACAGAGUCAGCCGAAGCAGGUCAUGCAUACUGCUUCGUAUCACUCACCUUACAUUCCAGAAUAUGUAGGCAACCACCCUGCAGCUUCUGUUGCUUCGGCGAGCCAACCCCAAGCAUCUUGGCAGCAACCUCCACCGCCACCGCCGAUCCAGCGAGGGCAACAGCCAGAAGGGAGCCAGCACAAUCAUCUUCAGAGGGAUUUCAGAGAAGAGUCUGAAGCUCGCACAGUCAACAGCACUGUGCCAGAAUCGAAGCACAUUUAUUGACAAAUAUCCUACCUCAACAGCAGUUCUUUUGCAUUUUCUACAUACGCUGUUACCCUUUUGUCAAUAAGGAACAAUUAUGAAGAGUUUAAAUAUCUUUAAUUGAUUUUCAAUUUCUUGUCAUACUUUCGUCUUUUACCAUAAUAAAAAUAUGUUUUUUCCAUAGGCUUGAGUUGCCGAAGCAUGCGAACUUAUACUGAUUUGAAGGACCUUCGUAUUAUCAAAAAUUUGAUCCAACGGACAUAGUACAAAUUGUUCGAAGCAGUAAAAAGUCGUUCCUAAGGGAGCGCAGUGUAAGUUUUCUAAACAUACAGCGAAAAAUAAACGCUGAUUCCGCUGAAAGUAAAAGGCGAAGAAGCUCCUAAGGGAGGCUUACAGUGAAAAAUAAACGCUGAUUCCGCUGAAAGUAAAAGGCGAAGAAGCUCCUAAGGGAGGCUUACAGCGAAAAAUAAACGCUGAUUCCGCUGAAAGUAAAAGGCGAAAAAGCUCCUAAGGGAGGCUUACAGCGAAAAGUCAGCGCUGAUAUAAAAAGUGUGUGUGCUUUAUUACAGGGAUAUGUAUCUGCGGCACAAAUAUCAUUUUGCAUAACAUAACAUCAUCACAUCAUCUUUGCAUAACAUAAGCAUCAUACAGCAUACUGCACCUGGAACAAGAAGGGGAUACAGUGUUGACCUUUGGAACAUAUUUUGGAAAAGAGAAAAUCGUGCUAAGGCACAAGAUAAAUCGAGAUGAAGUGUAGCUUCAUCGGAAACGCAACACAAAACUUUUUUACAGCUUCGAAGAAUAUUUCACGAAGCUUGGACAUUUUUCAGAGAAGUAAGCAAAUUCUUAUGGUAUAGAAAGGAUUUUCUUCACGAAGCAUGAAAAGAAGGGAAGGUGUUUUUUUCGCCGAAGGCUCAAAAAAUGGUAUGUAUGCAGAGUUUCAUGCAUCGUAAAGAAUUAAACUAUAAAUAGAUUGUAUAUUACAUUAAAAGUUACAAUAUAUUACACAUUUUUACGUCUCAAAUGUUUCUACAAUAACAUUCAAUCCUCUUUAAGCACUAUCUCUGCAGCUUCAUUCAAUAGUUGGUUGACAACCUUGUCCAUAAUGGCUUCGGCCAUUUUUCUAAUUUCAUCGUCCCCCUUCGGAUGGGGGCCCGCAGAUGCCUCAGCAGCUUCUGAGGGAAGAAAAGAUACGGCUACAUUACUAUUACAAACCGAGAACAGAGUCUGGAAUUAAAAAUUACAGCAUGAUAAAAACCACUAAUUAAUACCUAUGCGCCCUUCGGGCUCUGUACUUUCCUCGGCAGCUUCUGCUACUUUUCUAGCAUCGUGAAUGCCUUUUUCACUCCUUUGAAUAAUUUCUUGCGCCAAUUCUCGGCUGCCGUUAUCCCAGAUAUCGGUGAAGAAUUUCCCGCCGACCAUGCUUGCUUCGGGUGAGGGGUCUUUAAUGUCUUCAAUAGAUAAUGUAGCUUCGGACUGCGCUAAGGAUUUUACAUGCUCACAGCCUUUCUUCUCCAAAACAGUAGCAAUCCCUCUAGCACCCGAAAAAGCGCAGAUGUCGCCGCGACUGUUCAGAAUUUCCUCGAAGGCCUCUGCUUCGUGACUGAUCCAUUCCAUUGGACCUUCAGGAUUGCCUCUUGAAAAAUUCUCUUCACUAGAGAACGCGCCAACGCUGGCGAAGCUGGAUUUUAUCUUUUUGACGCACUCUAUGGAUUUAACAUAACAUUUCCUCUGGGAUGCACGAAGCUCCUUAACACUUAUCUCCAAAUGAUUGGCCAAUUGGUCACUAAGCUCUCGUUUUGUCUCUUCAAGUAUACGUUCUUCUUUAGCUCUAGCUAGCUGUUUCUGAAGAUCUUUAAUUUCACGUUUUUGAGCUUCGGCCUGGGCCUUCGAAGCAGCUUUGUCCUUUCUUACCUUGUCUAUCAAUGUAAGCAGAAUUUUAUCUUUUUCCAGAGCUUCGUUUCUCAGUUUAAUAACUUCUGAUCGUAGAUUGUUGAACGCAAUUUCAUAGCUCUCGUCCUCGGCACUCUUUUGUGCUCUCAAUGCGUUGCUUAGAAUUAAACCCUAUAUGAAAAAGAGUUUGUAUAAGAAUAAAAGAAUGAGUUACGAAUUAAAAAGUUUCCAAACGACUAAUUCCCAUACCUUCAGGCUAUUGUACGCAAGACUAUCCGCGAGAUCUUCUUUCGUCAUAGCGCUUAAGCCAGCUUCGAGCUUCGGAAACCCCAUGCUUCUAGACAUCUCCCGGCAGACGGACAAUUCUUUAUUGUCUGGGAGGCAGUAUAGGAAAUCCUCUUCGUCCGUCCCAUUGAAUACUAGUGCCCCCUUCGGAUAUUUUAAUUCUUUGGCAUAGUGAUUAGCUUCAAAAACUUCUUCUUCCGAUAACUUUUUCCCUGAAGCAUGACGCACAAUAUAAUCGUAUAUUUUGGAAGAUGCUUCGGGGACAGCGGUAUCAAUUUCUUCGACCAAAAUAGGCUCUGACAUUUUUAUUUCUUUAGUCGCCUUUUCAAUUCUUGCUUCUUCUGCUUCCAAAGGUAUUACCUUGGUUGGUUCUGAAGGCUCAGUUUCAACUACAGUCUGUUGCUUCGGAGCCUUAGCAACGGAUACUUCCACAGGCGCCUCUGAAGUUUCAGCAGUCUUCUUUGGAGUUGUGCUUGGAAGUUUAAUUGUCUCCAAAACAUCCAACACAUUGACCAUUCUUUUUCUUUUUGGGGUCACUAUUGGCCCCUUUUUUCUUGCUACUUCAAUUUCUACUGAAGGACUUAAAAUUUCUGAUAUUUUUGCUCCCUCAGUUGAUGCUUUUGCUUCUUCCAUCUUUUCUGUCGAUGGUGCUUCGGCCAUCUCUUUGGUUUCUGGUAACAGAAUCUUUGGUUCAUCCAAUUCCUUUGUUGUUGGCGCUUCGGCCAUUCCUGCGACUUCUGGCAGCAGGGUUGGCUCUUCAGCCUCGAUGGCCGGAGAAGUCUCUCCGGUGAAUUCAGGCACCGUGGCUGGUUCAAUAUAGCGUGGCCGAUGUGUGAGAACUUUUAUCCUCUUUCUCUUCGGUGCUGGCUCACUAGGAGCAGCUGCAGCUUUUUCUUUCGCAGAAGUUGUGCCUUUUCUUUUUUGCCCUCGUAUUGGAUAGCGAUAGUCGGGGUAGACGAACCCGAUUGCAUCAAAUACCCGGUUGAGUCUUUUCCUUUUUCGGCCUCCGAAGGCCGCUAACAAAGCAGUAUCAUCGGCCUUCGAGUAUGCCCCAAGCAAUUCAUCACUUACAGUCUCAAUGCUCUUUAACCAAUCAUCAUCCGGUUCAACGAAUUUGUCUCCAUACUUGAAUGUGUACCUUAGCCGGACUAGCCCACCUUCGUCGGUUUCUUUAAUAGUUUCUUUCGGCAUUUCCCAAUUAUCCGCAAGAGGCCACACUCUGAAGGCAAUAUGUUCUUGUGUUAAAUCCCUCGUCCCAAUAAAAGAGCAAACAACUCCGAAGGCUCUCUGGCAUUCUUCGGCUGCUUCAUUCAUUUCCACCUUCGGCCUUCGCAGGCCAAAGCGUUGCCAGAUGGGAUGCAUAAUGAUCUUCUUUACAUCUUCUCGAGAUUUCAAGUCAUUUUUCACGUAAAACCAUUCCGUCAUCCAGUCGCCAGGCCACCUCUUGCGAAAGGUCGGCACUGGGCAGCUUGACCCAGAACGGAGCCGAAGCUAUAACAGCCAAAGUUGUUGUGAUAUUGUUCCUUACCCCAGGGUUUUGUCUCGUAUAACAAUUCGUGUAUAUUGUAGAAGCUCUUUGCAUCAGGUUCCAAGCCUUGGCUCCUCACAGCCCACACGAAAAUAUUCAUCCUUAUGAUCGCUUCGGGGAUAAGUUGGUGAAGGUGGAUUUCAAAUAUCUUCAGCACCUCCACAACAAAACAGCUCAGGGGAAAUCGUAGUCCAGCUUUCAAGAAGCUUCGAAAUACUACAACUUCAUUUUCCUCAGGAGUUGGGCAAGUCUUCUCUCCCUCGUUGGCCCUUACAAUAGACAAAUCCCGGAAAUAUCUUCCCCUCAUGUUGGCAAGAUGACUUUCUUUAAUACUUGAUUUGCCGAAAACUGCAUGGCUUGGUCGCCAAGGUCGAUCUUCGGAGUCUUCGCCACCACUAUCCGCAUCAUAGUUGUCGCUAUCACCAGUAUCUUCAGAUAAACCUUCCAAAAUUUCUUUAGUGAUCUUCUCUGUAUUAGUCUUCGACAUAGAUUGAAGAAAACCCAGAUGCAUCUCUUCAGAAAGACUCAGCUUCAUUUCGGCAACAACCUUCUUCUCCUCAGACAUCUCUUCGGAAUUCUUGCCUCUCGCUUCCGAAGCUUAAUACUAGGGAGGCAACAAAAUAUUUGUGGCCAGAAAAUUAUUUGAGCAGGCAAAACAGAUGGCAAGGGAGUGUGCCGAAUAAAUUGUGGCGAGCCCGUAUUUAUAAACCCAUUAUGUCGGAGACUGGAGGGCCCCAUUUGCCAAUGACUGUUGCUAUUCUAGCAAAAGGAAGGUGUUUUUCGGACCUUCGGCUUAUAGCCUUCGUCCAUUUCGCAAUCUGAAUUCAUCAUUCUGACAAAUUAAUAUUGCGAGGGGCUACUGUUGGGGGCCUUCGGCUUCCAAAGGUCCUCAAAAACAUGUUUUAACAAUGUUUCUGGAGUAAAGUACGUUAACAGGUACCUUCGGAUUCGGAUCAGAGCCACGGUACGAAGAAGCACAAAGGUUGGCGCAGAGCCGAAGCUGUGUGUAGAAGAGCUUCGGAGUAGCGGUGGAAAAGGAAACUGACUUAAAGAUGAAAAACCAGAUUAGACCUCGAAGAGUUAUCAUAGAGUUAUUGAUAAAUGUAAAGGGCAUUAUUGUAAUUUUCCAUGGGCUGCGACCCGUGCCUAUAAAUAGGUGAACAGUAUCCCCGUACUGUUCACGCUGAUUCGACAUUGGCUUUGGCAUCACACUUGUGCUUCUACCUUCUUUACGAGCUGAAGGUACACUUAUAAUUUAAUAUUAUCUUUAUCUUUCCAUCAUAAUAAAAUGGAAAUGAUUCGACAACAUUACACAACUGUUUAUGUUAUCUUCAUGUUUCAUAUGAUCCUUUCUUCAUUAUUAUAUUUUAUGCUGAUGAAGGUAUGUCCUUCAUAACCUUCGCCCGAAAAUCAUUAUAUCCUUAAGGAAAUAAUGCUUAGAAGGACGAAGGAUAUUAAUAUUUAACAUUUUGUGUUGCCUUGUUCUUGAUCCAUAGCAUUUGAGAACAAGUCACCAACAAAUACAGAAUUCACAAACCACAUCCACAAUCAAUACCAUAAUUGUUUCAAACCACAAUCACAUCCAUAAUAAAGUCCAUACAUAGUCCAUAGACAAACUCACUCAUGGCAAGUCUCACUCCUGCGGGCUGUGGGAGUUUUGGCCACUCCCUCCUCCGCCACCAGGAAGGUGGCCACUCCCUCCGGAACCAUGGACGAGGUAGUCUUGGACGUUGACAGCACCCUCCGAUCCCUGAGCAUGUGACACUGAACCCUGCAAUUCAUCAAUCAUUCAAAUAAGGUUGUGUUUUGCUAUCCAUAUACCUAUACAUUGCUAUGUUUGGUCACUAUUUGCAUAAAACUAAACAUGGAACGUCACCUGUGAUCCAUUGUGCUGAGGAGGCUGUGCAUGCAUCCAUGGGUAAUGUUGUGCUGGCCACCCCUGGGGUGGUGGCACCCACCCCGGCGGUGGCGGUGCCAUCCACGCUUGAAGUGGCUGAGAGCCCGGCAGUGGCUGGGAGACCGGUGGCACCCAUCCCGGGGUUGGCUGCGAUCCCUGGGGUGGUGGAGCCGUCCAAGUGCCUGGAGGUGCCUGCGUCCACCCAACACCGGUCCACAGUGGCUGCGACGCUGGAGCUAGCUGAGAUCCCUGGAGUGGUGGCGUAAAUGGCUGCAACUCUGGAGCUUGUCCUGGCCACUGUCCCCAUCCUUGUGCCUGCGAGCCAUUUUUUAUAAUAAAAAAGAGUUGCUAUGGAAUUGAAGUGUUCAGAUAGUGUUACCUGGGGAGGGCAAAAAGCGGGCAAGUUCAUAUCAGGGCCGAGUCGAGAAGUCAUUUCCUGCAAAUGGAUGAAACGUUAGAAUCGCAACAUUAUACUUUGAAUUCAAUAACACGUGAUGAGAUAGAUGAAUUACCUGAAAAUAAGAAGCCAUAUACUGCGUCAGCUGUCCGACCUGCUCCUGCGCUGCUCGAGCUUGCUGCUGUGCUGCUCGAGCCUGCUCCUGUGCUGCUCGAGUCUCCUCCUCCACCUAAGCCUCUCGAGCAGACCUAGAGGAGCGAGAACUCCCUUGACCUAUUGUCCUGUUAUACUCCACAACGCCGGUGCCAAAGGCAAACCUGCAUGAUACACAUAGUUGAGCCAUUAAGUGGACAUAUUCUUGUUAAUGAAAUUGUCGAAUCAAACACAAACACCUCACCUGCCAUGCUUUCUACCCCCACCACUGUGGUACAACGCCGAGGCAUCUAAGUCCGAAUGCAUCCAGUCGAAGUCAGGCCCAUGGCGUUGAGUCAUUUCCUCCCCAUAUGCAUUCUGCAAAGAAAGUUAGAGUUGGAGUUAGACACAAAACAUGCAAUUUAAUUCAUAAAUACAAACUUGUUUACCAUUUUCUCCCUUGCCGCCUCGCUGCAUAGCACAUCAGGGUUCACCGGAUCAGGGCCACGGUGACCACGAACGUAAACCUCCAUAAAACUUGGAGCAACUACACUUUCAGCUUCCUGCAUGAAAAAGAAGAGUUAAACCAUAGAAUUUUCAUAGAUGUAACAUACAAGUUUGAUUUACAUACUUACCAUGCGGCGUGCGGUACCAAGGUGUCCAUCGGCGCCGUACCUGUGCCCCGGUCCUUCAGUGCCACGGUUGGCACGGUGCUUCUGGGACUCUGCAAUCCACUUAGGCGACACCCAUCUCUUAGCCAACCACCUCCAGGCUUCCAUGUCCUUCGCAAGCCAAUCCACAAUGCUCUCCAGGUACUACUCCUCUGUGAGGUAGAUCUCAUUGGCCCCUUUUGAUUUGCUCAUGUUCUGCCCCUUUAUCUUCUUGUAGUAGUAGUUGAUGGUCGUGAUGCACGCAUUGUACAUGGCAUCCUUGAUGAUCUUAUCAGCGCACUUCCGAAAGUGCCUCUUCACACGUGCCCACUGAGCCUGAUCCUCCUCAUUCUCCAAUUGGAACCUCUCCUACAUAUCAACGGAGAUGUUAAGUUAAAGUAAGAUUAUGAGAAGCAAUAAUUCAGUGAAUUGCUUAUAUACGAAAGUAAACUCACCCAGAACUCGUCCCACACAGCCACCUGACAAGUCCUUCAUCUUUGUUCCGAAGUUCCCCCUCC